rnacentral:lncRNA from 1 species
UUUUUUUUUUUUUUUUGUAAAUAUAAACAAGUUUAGAUUAUGUUACAUAAUAUGAUGAAUUCAAAUCUCGUAUCCGUGACAUACAUUCAAAACUGUUAGUGUAAAAAAAAAAUCACCACACCGUCAGCGUAUAAAAAGUUAAUCCUUGUGAAUAGUUAAUAGUCAUCCAUAUUUCAACUAAUAAUUCAAACUAUUAGUACAAUUCAAGGGUGAAAAAAAAACUCUCAUCUCACUAUUUUAACUGUGAAUUUAACUUCAUGGGAUAAUAAUAAUAUUCAAGGAGGAUAGUAGAGAAUCUCUCAAAAAUGAAAUAUAUAUUUUAUUUGUCCGCCAGCGCCAGCCAGAAACUAGGGUAGAACAUUUAUUUAUUUUUUCUUGGGGAUAAAAAAUCCAUUUAUCCUAACUAAACUAGUAGUAGGACUUAAUAGGGAAGACGGUGUAGACGGUGGAGAAUGACAAAUUUAACCUUGGAGAACGGGUUCUUGAUUUCAAAGCGAAUCGGGUUCAUGAAAUAGUAGCAGUAGAAAGGGUGGUGGGUAAGUGUCUGAGACGCUUCCACAGCUUCUAGGCUUUCUCAUUUGGAUUUCCCUCUUCUUUUCUUCUCGUGUUGUUUGUAUUGGAGCUACUACUACUGCUGCUGCUGCUAAGUAUCACCAGUCUCUUUCCCUUGCCUGAGGAGGAGGAAGACGAGGACGCUUCUUCUUUAGGGUGGUCUUUUGAUAUUGUUCGAUUGACCCCUCAAAAAAAAAGAAAGAAAGGAAGAAAGAAAGAUGGUGGGAAUGGGAUGCCGGCGUAUGGAAUUCAGUCAAUGCUGAAGGAAGGGCACAAGCAUCUAUCCGGGUUGGACGAAGCGGUGCUCAAGAACAUCGACGCCUGCAAACAGCUUUCCCAAAUCACCCGCACUUCCUCGGCCCCAACGGUACUCUCUCUCUCUAGCCCUUCUUCUUACUCUUCUCCCUCUCCCCGAUUUUGCAGCAUCAAAUCUAUGUGCUGCUGUCACUCACAUUUGUAACUGUAUGUCUCAGUUGUAAACUAUUGCUCCUGCUUUUAGUUCUAGGGUUUUUUCAAGUCACUUUUGCCCUUUCCUAGUAUUAUUUUUUUUUUCAAAAAAAAGGAGGAUCUUUGCGUUAGGAAUUAUUUACCAAGGAAAUUCUUGUAUAAUGCAUUUGGGAUCUGUGGACGCGUUUCCAAUCUCUCUCUCUCUCUCUUCAGGUAUGAAUAAGAUGGUUUCACCAUCUCGACAAGCUUUUCGUCACCAAGAUGCUGCCACCAUCGUCAACGAGCUCGAGGUUCAGCAUCCUGCGCUAAGAUCUUGGUUCUGGCUGGCAAGGCACAACAAGAGGAAAUUGGUGACGGUGCUAACUUGUGCUCUUUUGCUGGGGAGCUUCUCCAAAAUGCUGAGGAGCUCAUCCGAAUGGGUCUGCACCCCAGUGAGAUCAUCAUUGGUUACGCUAAGGCCAUUAAUAAGGUUUCCAUCAUCCCCUGCAGCCUUUUCGUUUUUAUCUCUUUACUGUUUCCACCACUUCCUCUUUUCUUUUUCUUUUUUCCAAUUGGCUGAGCAAUUUUUUUUUAUUGGUUACCGUUCUGUUUCAGACAAUCCAAGUUUUAGAGGAAUUGGUUGAAGCAGGUUCUGACACCAUGGAUGUCAGAGAUACCAAUCAAGUUAUUUCUCGCAUGAAAGCUGCUGUUGCUAGCAAACAGUUUGGUCUAGAGGAUAUAUUAUGCUGCCUUAUUGCUCAGGUAAAUAUUGCUAACUUUGCUGUUGUUGGUGUCUCAGUUGGGAUUCUUCCCUUGUCCUGAGUUAUGGUGUAUUUGCAACACAGGCAUGCAUCCAAGUUUGCCCAAAGAACCCAGCGAACUUUAAUGUGGACAAUGUCAGAGUCACAAAGCUCUUGGGUGGAGGUCUGCAUGAUAGUAAAAUAGUCCGAGGUAUGGUAUUGAAAAGUGAUGCUGUUGGAAGUAUAAAGAGGAUCGAAAAGGCAAAGGUAGACACUCAUAAGCAUGCAUCUGGUUGUUUGUAUGCUAUUAACUAGUCAACGGCUGUGCUUUGAAACACUUCAGUAUGUUUUCUUGUGCCAAUUCAAAUCAAUGUAGCACAUUAUGAGGCUGAAAGAGUAACAUGCCAUCCUUUUCUCCUCUGUAUCUUGUAUGCUUAUGCAUAAAAGGACAUCAUUUUUUGGUCUGAAUCUUUUUCCAAUUUUUUAAAGAUCUCCCUCAAUAAAGUAGGGUUCUAAUGCCUACUAAUUUUUCAGUCCUGGAAAUAUGCGCUAUUUUUAUUUUUGAAUUCUAUCAUUUGUAUUAACACUUGUUGAUUUAAAAACGGAAGUAGUCUCACGUGCUUAAUGCCUCUUCUAAACGAGUUUAAUCAAAUUCUUCAAAAGAUGUGUCGGCUGUGUUCAUUAUUCGGUCUGGUCUGGGUGGCACCUGUUCUCUAAUCAUCUGUUAAAACUUUUAGAAUUUCUGGUCGUGUUUGUUUUAAAGAGGUUUCAAGUCAUGGCAAAAUUGUUUUAUUCUUUUCCUGAUAAAGUUAGGAAGGAGCGGUACUCUGCUGAUUUACCUUAUGAUUGAUAUUCAUUCUUUAUCAGGAAAUUAAGACUUUGUAAUCAUUCUUGCAGGUUGCUGUUUUUGCUGGAGGUGUUGAUACAUCAGCCACAGAAACAAAAGGAACUGUCUUAAUCCAUAGUGCUGAACAGGUAUUAAGGGGAGCGUCUAGUCCUUUAGAUCCUCAUUCAUAAAGACGUGAACUAGUUUUUCGAAGUCCAAACCUCUUUGCACAUGGUAUUUAUAGUCUCAAGUAAAGCAGUGAAUAAACUUCUUCUAGUGUUCAUCUAUUUUGUUUGCUUUCGUGAAUUCUGGAGCAUCUAGUAACCUGUUCUGUGUUAAUAUCCUCUCAUCUCAGAGUUGGUAAUUUUUAAUCUGUUAAUCUCUUCUGCUUUUGCAGCUCGAAAUUAUGCAAGGACUGAAGAAGCUAAGGUUGAGCAACUCAUCAAAGCAGUUGCAGAAUCUGGUGCGAAGGUUAUUGUUAGUGGAGCAGCUGUUGGAGAGAUGCACUACAUUUUUGUGAGCGUUACAAGUACAACCAUUUUCUCUACCUGUUACUUUAACUUUAAUUUUUGUGCCUUUAUUUCUACAGAGAAAUGAGAAGUCAAGUGCUUUUUCAUUUCUGCUAACCUAGCCUAUUGAAAGAAUGGUUUGUUUCUCCUAAUACAAUGAGAGUCCUAGUUUGCCUUUGUAUCUCUAUGAGGUUGCUGUACAGUAACAGAUAGGUAUGAAUAUCAUAUCCUGAUGGGAAUGAAAGGUAGGGCAACAAAAUAUUGGCACAUUCUGCACUAUAGACUACUGAAAGGUCGUGUGUAUUGGUCACUCGUUUUGACAACUUUCAUCUGCUUGAAUAUCUUGGGAAACUUGUAAGGCGAUUCAUCAGCUUGAAAUGUAGAUUACUCUCCUUUAGCUUUGUGUCAUUUUGCUCCAUUUUGCAUCCCCUUUCUCACCUUGGAUAUAGUGGGAAAAUUUCCUUUAUUUAAGUGUAUUUAUACAUGAGAAGAUAUGUAAAAUCUGCUUGUCCUGAACUUUUUUCCUUAUCUCUUUUGUAUUCAAUUUUUUCUUUUUUGUUGUUUUUUCGGGGGAGGGGGUGUUGGUGGGCGGUAAUUAUAUUGGAGUCUUGGACGAUUUUGCAUUUGCCUUGACUGGAUCUUGAAUUGCUAUCGUUAUGGUUCAUCUUUUCCUAUGCCAUGCAUAUUACUUGUUGUCUGUUUGCCUAACAACCUAUAUAUGUUGAACAACUGAUUACCCAGUACAUAUCCUUUGCAGGCUCAUGGUCCUAAAGAUUAGCUCCAAAUUUGAGCUUCGACGGUUUUGCCGUACCACUGGUGCUGUUGCUCUUGUAAGCAUCUUGCAGUCAGAGAGUAUUAAGUUGUGAAACUUCGUUGUAUUCCUUCUGAUUUUUGUUUUUUUUGGCGAUACAGUUGAAACUUAGUCCGCCAAAUCCAGAUGAUCUUGGAUAUGUUGAUUCCAUUUCAGUGGAGGAAAUUGGUGGUGUUAGAGUAUGAUAAGACUGCCCAUAGUGCUGUUACUCUUCAAUUUGUAGUUGUUUCAACUGCUUGGAUAUGAUUUUUAUGAAUGAUGAUUAGGUUACAAUUGCAAGAAAUGAAGAAGGUGGAAAUUCUGUAUCCACAGUUGUUCUGCGAGGUAGCACUGAUAGUAUAUUAGAUGAUCUUGAGAGAGCGGUCGAUGAUGGAGUUAAUACUUACAAGGUACCCUUUCUGAAUAUAGCAGAUAUAUUUGGAAUGAUGGGUUUUCUUCUGAAUGCCUUUGCAAGUUGUUAACUAUUUGCUUCUUGGUGAUUUGCAAGUUUUUACUUGCAGUUAGGAUCUAAUAGACUUUGCUGUUUCCAUCCAUACCAGGCAAUGUGCAGGGAUAGUCGGAUAGUACCUGGUGCUGCAGCUACUGAGAUUGAAUUAGCCAUAAGACUAAAGGAGUUUUCUCUCAAAGAAACUGGGUAAUGCACUUCCUUACCUUGCACUGAAGAAUGUUUUAUUUUAGGUUAAGGCAGCUGUGCUGAAGUGCAAGCUAUAUACAUGUUCUUCACAAGCUUUAGCAAAUAUUCUAUCCAUUUUGCACAUGUAUUUAUUUAGUUCUUGUUUUGAAAAGUUGAUGUGCAUCUGCUUUGUGGCUUCUUUUUGUCCUACCAGAAGGUAACAUACAUCUUCAACCUUGUCCUACCAAAAGUAACAUACAUCUUCAACCUUGUUUUGCAUAUUCUUUCUGCUAUAUAUGUUUGUUUGAUUAUUUGCAUGGGAUAAGGUAAACUUGAGUAAAUUAUUGGACCUGCCAUUUUUUGCCUUGAUUGCUGACUGAUCUGCUUGAAAGUUAGUGUUCUCCCUGUAUAUGAUUGAACAGUGUGGUUGAAUCUGAGUUAGAGGACCAUUUUAUUCACAUUAACUUAAUGACAAGUGUUGCAAUCUAUUUCUAAAGUGUUUUUGUUGAAUGUUUGUGCGAAUAUGUACUGGUUUCUCAUAUCCAAUGGCAUACUGUUAGUUGUCUAUUGUUGUCUUGAUUUUCUUACCAAUUAGUAAACUGAAGCAUGGGUGCUUUGUUUAGUUGAGGCUUAGAUUUUUCUAUUGCCAUGCAGCUUAGAUCAGUAUGCAAUUUCCAAAUUUGCUGAAAGUUUUGAAAUGGUACCUAAAACCCUGGCUGAGAAUGCUGGGCUUAAUGCUAUGGAGAUUAUAUCAUCGUUGUAUGCCGAACAUGCAUCUGGGAACGCAAGAGUUGGCAUCGAUUUGGAAGAAGGCACGUGCAAAGAUGUCUCCACGAACAGCAUAUGGGACCUAUAUAUCACAAAGUAAGCUUUUUCCUUAUAUUGCUGAAAUCCACAUUCAAAUUUUUUCUAGUGUAGAAGUUUCAACUUUGAAGAUUGAGAGCAAAAUUUUGAAGAAUGAGAGCAAACUGUUGUUUUUAUGUCAGUCCUGGAGUAAGCAUUAAACCCUGCUCGUGAAGGUUGUGCAGAAGAUUGUUUAGCACUUUCUAGUGAUCUCAUUUGUAUAUAUCAUGCAUGUUAAAGGCUACCAACUAACUAAAUCUUGCUUCUGUGGAACAAUGUAAACAAAAGCUCAAUAGGGAUCCUUAGUUCUGUCGACCUUGGUUUUUGGAUCCUCAAAACCUAAUCAAAAGAUCCAAGCAACUCAGCUGUGCAUGAGCUUGUGAACACUCACAUGCUUGCCUGCUUGGGCUUUUUUAACCACCCAUGAAGGAGAUCUUUUUUUGUUUAGUUUCCCUGAGAUUGAUGCAUUCUGGAAUAUUCUUUUGUAACUCAAGCUAUUCUGGAAUAUGGAAUUUAAUGAAGUGUCAGAAGGCUCUUAACUAGGAAUUUGGUUCAAUUGACAGGUUUUUUGCUCUCAAAUUUGCUGCUGAUGCUGUCUGUACUGUCCUGCGUGUAGACCAGGUAAGGCAUUCUUGGCAUCUUUACUUUUCUUCUUCAUAAUGUGGUUAUCAUGAUACUGGUGGUAAAUUACCUAUUUCUGUGGUUUAUGCUGCAUUUAGUCGACCUUUUUGGACGUGAAAGAAUUUCACUUGAUGGUGUGAUAGUUAUACAAGAAUUAAGUAGUUUAUGGAGCGGAUAUGCAGAAGUAGUCUACCAGAUGGCCUGGUGGUUGGUGUGUAGGUGAUGACCGUGGGUUUAGGUAUAGGUUUUUCAGUUCAUCAAGUUAUUCUGUGGGUUGUGUGAUAGUCUUUUGAAUGUGCUGCCUAGAAGUUUCCCUUGUUGAGGCUAAAUAACCAGGUGGAAUAGCCCAAUGCUGUCAAGCAUGAUGGCACUUGUUGGUUUAUAAUGUUGAAACUUUGGUCCUUGGGUGUUGUAUUUACGCGUAUAGGUUCUGGUGGUUGAGAUAUAGAUGACGUUUGCAGACUUCCCAAUGCAGAGAUGUCAAUCUCCCAAGUCAUGGAUCAUGACAGGAUUUCUUGGGCAUGCAAAAAAGCUCAUACUAUAUCCUCUCACUAGUUUCAAAAGAAGGCUUGGGUUAACCACAAUAUUGAAGCAUAGUUGGAGAUUCUUGUAGUAAUUUUGCUCAGUUUGGGACACUAAGGUCCCAUAAAGAGGGUCUAAAAGGUGCUGCUGUUGUAAAUAAUUGUGGAUACCUCUGCUAUAAAUUUGAUCAUAGAUCUUGUCUGACUUUAGUAGGUGCAGUGCAAAUAUUUUCAGUUGCUUUUACUCACAGAGUGAUGGAAAUGGUUCUUCAUGUUUUCGCGUUAAGAAGUUUUCCUCAUCUUUUACAAGAUUUGUGAUUGUGUGUCAUCACCUAUUGGUUUUCCGAUGCAGAUUAUAAUGGCAAAACCAGCUGGUGGUCCAAAAAGAUGCUCCUGCAGGGAUGGAUGAAGAUUGAGUGUUCAAUAUGAAUGUAGCGUCUGAUUUAGAUUUUGCUUGGUAGUGUUCUGGGCCUCUUGUGGGUCAAAGGGUUUUCAUCAGAGAAGGCGGAGAAUAGUUGAAUGUUAGCGUGUUGUUUCCUACUUUCAUACCAAUUACUAGGACGGACGUGGUCGAAGAAAAAUUUUGGGUGUUUUUGACUCUGAUUGUAUAUGCCACUAGAAGUGCAUUUGUGGCUUGGUUCGUGUUUAGCGUUUUCCAUUUUUAGUUAUCAUAUUACAGUGGAAGUACACAAUCCAUGGUGAAUUGGGCGUUUUAUACCUAUUGUGAUGUGAAGAGCCCGGCAUCAAAUUCUACAUUGGAAGCUUUAAUUCUUGUUUAUCGGAGUCAGAUUAUAUCUUCGCUGGAAAUAUUUGGAAAUGUUAAUAAAAAAAGCUUUUCUUCAUGGCCCAACAAGGCAACAACGUCGAGUGCUUGCGAUGGAAAGCAAAAUUAUAUGCUCCUCAUUUUUUCUGUCAAAUGACGUAUGAAGGUUUUGUGAAAUGGGCGUUUGGUUUUGAUUUCUCAGUUUUUUUUUAUUUUAAAAAAAAAAAGAAAAAACAAAUACUAUACGUAUUGGCAAGCAAUAAUCUGCUCUGAGCUCUUUAGCUAGUAGCAAUACGUAUGUGAGUAAAAGAGGUAAAAGCUGGGAGUGUGGGAACCAGAUUACCGUCAAAAGUUUUCUGGGGUGAGAGCCAGGUUAUAGAAGAUUGGCUUGCCAGUGGACGGUGGUGGUUCAAGAAACAAACUGCUUAGUGCUUAGCUUUCAUUCAAUCAUGGCUUCUAUUCUAUCCUUUCCUCUCCCAAAACCAAGCUCAGCUACUGUUAUACCUAAAGCUUCUUCUGUUCCAAUCACGUCGUCUCCUCCUCCUGCAGAGACUCUUGACGCAGAGGUUUGGUCGCAAAGGCAUUAAAUCUUGGAGUCCGCAGGAGAUGUUCCGACGGUUGAGCUGACUGUGAGAAAUGGCAGCUCAGUAAAAGUUCAAAUACCCAGUGGUCAUGUCACUUCUUAUAAGCCUAAAGUUUACUGGAAAGAUGAUGGCUUUGAGGAAGUCCUCUACACUCUUCCAGCAAAUGGGCAAUUCUUUCAGUUCCCCUGCUCCUCCUCCUUCCAGAGGUGGUAUUGGUUUGGCAUUCAAUGACCUUUCGACCCAAAUUCAAAAGGGUCUCUUCUCAAAACUUCUGAAUGGACCGUAAAAGAUGUUGACUCUGAUUCUAUUGAUGCUGUGCAGGUACUUUCUCAUCCUCCUCCAUUAUGACUUGCGAGUAGGAACCAGUCAUUCAUUUUGCUCAUUUCUUUUUGCCAAUAUAGUUUUGCUUGCUCUGCUAAGUGCUAACUGCUUUUCUCUUCUCUUCUUGAGAAGAAAUAUAACUACUGGGUUGCACAGUUGCACCCAUGUAAUGGCAGCUUUUGUUGCUCCAAAAUAAUUUAUAGGGGCCUUUUGACAUGGAUUCACUACAGUACUGAAUUCGUUUUUUCCACCUUGGACAAACUCUGUGUGUGUUUGGCUGCAGGUUGAACUGUGUAGCACCAGUGGAAGUCUGGAAUUAACUUACGUAGUUUCACUCUAUCCCUUGUGCGUGGCAACCGCAGUUAUUGUGAAGAACAAUGGCCGUAAAGCUGUCAACCUGGCUGGCGCCAUUCUUACGCAUUUCAGGAUGAAGGGACGAAGUGGAGCAGGUGUGCGAGGCCUCAAGACCUGCUCUUACUGCACCCUCCCUCCUUUAUCUUCGCACUAUGAGAUUCUAUCUCCAUCUGAAGCUGUUAAAACCGAGGAUCCUGGCUUCUUCUCUUUUGGCUGGGAGGCCGAAAAGAAACCAGGAGAAUGGAGUGUGCAAGGCGUUCCCUUCACAGUACUGAAGCAUAAGCUCAGUAGAGUUUAUGCUGCUCCACCAGCUGAUAGAUUGAAAGAGUUCUACAAUACCACACCUUCAAAAUAUGAGGUACUUGAUCAGGUAAUGCCUCAGCAUUCGACUAGCAUUAUCCGUGUACUUUGGACUAUACAAAGUCAAUGGUGUUGAUGAUAAUUCCUCUUAACUAUCUCCCAUAUUAUCAUUUCUAUAGAUGCAGUUGAAUAUUUAUAACCUGCUUCAUUUUUCUAAUGAAUUCUGUCCCUUGUUGGUUCUUUUCUUUCCAGGGCGAGAGCUCUUCUUUAGGUUUAUACGAAUGGGUUUUGAAGAUAUAUAUUUGUCCAGCCCUGGUUCUGUCUCUCGGAAGUAUGGAAGGAUUACUUUAUAUGUACGGGCCCUGCUUCAAUGCUGGUUCCGAUCGUCAUCAACCCUGGUGAGGAGUGGAGGGGGGCACAAGUCAUCGAGCACGAUAAUUUGUAAAAACCAUCAAUUUAACAGACAGCACCAAUUGAUUUUCGCCCUUGAGUUUGUUCUGAGAUGUGCAGAUAUUGAAAUAUGUACAUUGUAGCAUCAAUCUAUUUCAUGAAUCGUGAUAAUUGAGCAGUUCUUGGAUAACAACUUAGCGGACAAUUCAUAUAUUCUGUAGGAAAUCCAUCAAUCAAGAAUGACAGCAGGAGCAGCUGCAUAUGCAGAUGUGAGACAGAACUUUUCAUCAUUUUUCACCAUUUUUGACGUGGUAGUAAAUGGAUUAAUCAGAACCAACAAUAUGGCAAACAUGCAUCCUCGCAUGUAUUGCAGUUCAGAUUCAACUGGCGUUUGACAAAGCAACCACUCAAGCAAGAGGACGAACAAGAGAAUAAUCUACUGCCUCUGUCAAGAGUGGAACAAUUACGCUCAACCAAAAUAAUCUGAGAUUAAUUGCAAAUUCAGCUUUUUGUAAAAAAUCAUUCUUCCAUCACCACCACCACAAAUUCUUACAUAGGAUGAUAAGUAUACGAAGUAAUCAAGGAGAACUUGUCCUUGGGUGAUCAUUGGUGUUGAGAAGAUCAUGAAUCUGUCACUGAACUGCCCCAGAAACUUAUUGCUGCUGCACAGUAAGCAAGAAAAUCAAAGAGAUAAUAUAACAACUACAACAGCUCAGAUAACAAAAGAUAGAUAGAUCGUCGAGCUUUCUUCAACCAAGCAUCUUAUUCCUCUUUGAUGUAAAUCGAGAAACAUUUGAGACAUCUAAAUUCACAAGAAGUCAUGCCAAUCCGAGUCCUACACCAAACUACAAACCAUUUGAUUUUCUUGUUCUGCCACCAUACCAACUGUUGGUGUCUGUUCCAGAGUUUGAUGGCCUUUAGUUACCUAUGGUAUAAUUUGUGUCAAGAGUCUUUGCAUGUGUAGAUAUAUUAUGAGAAUAUGGAUAUCAGAUUCAAAAAAGUAAAAGAAAAAACCUUAUUUUUGGCCGCCUUCUCAUCUGUCAGUGGAGUUCCCACCUGUUUCCAACUCCUACCUGUGGCAAGAAGUUUUUAUUGUGAGGCAGACCUGACGAACUCUGAUUUCUUUCACUACUCAGAGUAGUAGCAUCUGUGGCAAGAAGUUUUUCCCUUGCAUUGGUUAAAAAGUUCACCAAAAGGUCACAUCUUUACUCAUUUUCAGCAACAAGACGUUGCACUUCCAACAAUAAUGGACUGAGACAGUCAUAACAACGUCUUUCUUCAUUGUCACUGAAAUCAUCAUAAACAGCUUUUACACGCUGGUAACCACGAUUCAUGUCUUUGCGCCAUCAGUCCAAAACAUAACAUGUUGAAACCUUGGUAAAAUUGUUCAUGGUUAGCACAGAGAUUACAUGCCUACAAAGGAUACCCCGAGACUCAAAAAGAUGACAAAAAACAAUUAAUCUGACAUGCAUUUUCAGUAUCAUAAUGUACAUCAAACAUAACUUCUUUCCAAUGUACUCCUUCAUUAUCUAACAUGUUUUCUACAACACCAUAAAUUCAAACUGACCCCUCUUUUUCACAAAGCAGGCAGUGCAAAACAUCAACCCUCUUAAUUCCUCCUGAACCAACUUGAAGAUGGAGUAGUGUAAAUAUUUUGAAAUUGCUUUUCAAUGGGAUGUCCAGAUAUUGUUGGCGUGGUGGAGUUGGAUGAAGCAACAUCCGAAUUUUUCUCUCUGUCUAUCUUAUUCUUCAAAGCAUUAUCUUAGUGUUCAACAAACUGCUUCAAUGUUGUUUUUGACUUGCCAGCCAAAAAGUGUGCCAAUCUUGAUACAAUGAUUUUAACCAAUCAUUCUUCUCCAAUUCAAAAUCUUUAAGCAGCUUCUCCCAAUUCUCUUCAAACUCAUCCCCUUUAAUAGAAUCAUAAACAAUAUUUUCCAAACUCCCCUUUAUUGCUUUAUAAUAAGUAAGACGUCCUAAUAUUUGUGGGAGUUUUCUCGUUAUUUGCCUCAGGCACAAACAAUAAUGGGAAUCUGGAAAUUCCUCAGCAACAGCAGCUUGAAUGGAGCUGUCUUCAUCAAUGAUUAUAGCCUUCGGAGCACGUCUUAGCAUGCUUGUUAACCAAGAUCUGAAUAACCACACAAAAGUUCCGUAUCCUCCCCAGAUACCAAUCCGCAACCUAGCAAUACAGUUUGGCCAUGGUGGUACAUUCCAAUGAAUGAAACCAAAGGCAAAUCACAGCUCUGAGUCAAACAAGUAGUAUCAAAAGAAAUGACAUAACAAAAGGACUCAUACGUUGCUCUACACCUUGCAUCUGCCCAAAAUAUAUUUUUUAUGCGACAUUCUUCAUCCAAAUUAACCGCAUAAAAGAAAUUAGGAUCUCUGACUUGCAUAUGAUGGAAAAAAAUUACUCAAGGCCCAAGCAUCUCCAGGUCUGAGUCUCAAACUUUGAGCUUCUGAAAUGUUUUGGUCAUGUAAAGUGUGAAACUUUAUUCUGUUCUGACAUUAGAAUAGUCCGAGAACUUGUCACGUCUAAUAUGGUGUGAUUUUUCUGGAGUGAAGUCAUGACUGUGGUCAAGGGAGUGACGACGCAAGUACCAUCAUCCAUAAUGGCAACAUUGAUUUUAGCUUUACAGAACAGUCGGUCUUUGUGGAGACUGAGAGCCUUCCAUGGUAAGAAGUUUAGUAGUUGAUUUGGUCUUACCAUUCUUGGAACAUCAGAGUGAAAAAUACUCUGCUUGCCAUCAUCAUCUCCAUUCUUGCAAGAAACUUUGGAAAUCCCAAAUCCAAGACGUUGAGCAUAAGAUCUAUAGAAUUGGCGAACUUGUUGUUCAGAAGAGAAUUCCAUCCCAGCUUCAGGGGUUGGAACUUCAUCCUUAUUUGAUGAGGAGUUAUCCAAAUGUGGUGGGUCAUCUUCAGGAGAAACUUUCUCUACCUCGUAGGUCCGUUGCUUAUCUUCUUGCAUCAUGGUAAUUUUGUCAGUGUCACUGGAAUAGAAACUAUCUACCUUUUCCCAAAUUUUAUUUUUAAGGAGACUCUAAACAAAAAGGAGAGCUUUGAAUCCUGCCAAGCAUUUUAUUUAUUCAAUUUCCAAUUGAAUUGAGUUUUCCUGGAAGGUAAUUCCACAUCUAAAUUACGCAAAUGGGCAGUUCAGGCCAACCUGAAUUAGGCUCCAAAGAAAAAAAAGUAGAUAAACCAUCAUCAGAGAUGAGGCCGUAGCAGGUUUUUUUGGGUAGUUUUCAGUAUAUUACCACUGUAAACGAGGAUGAACUUAAGUCUUGAGUUUGACAAUUUGCAACCGCAACCAACCAAAAGCAGGCAGAAAGAGCACAACAGACAGUUGUAAAAAAAUCUCGUCACUUUAUCCAAACAUGUGUCUGGGGAGUCUAUCCUAAAACUCUUCUUCCCUUUAAUUGGAAUCUCCCUGCAAGCAAUUUAAUCCAGACUAGCAAUAAGAGAUUAUGACACCAUUUCAGCUUGAGGGAAUCAUGACAAGUAGUACCAUCCACUCUGGUUUCCUCUCUCCACACUUCAUCCCUCUUUCCAACACCAGAAAACCAGUACUGUUACCUACCAAGACCGUUCAUCGUCUGCAGUGUCCUCCUCCUCCUUUCGUGUGCAACAUUUCUAGCAGCAAGAAAAGAGAGCCCAGAUUGCCAUCGGUAGCAGCAUCAGUCUGGUGCCCACCUCUAGACGUGGACUGUCUAGAAAAUGAGUAUGGAAGCCAUGGAGUCUCGUUUUCUGGUAUCAGCAGUGGUGAUGAGAGUUGUAUGGUCAAGAUGACCAUGGAAAAUGGAAGUGUAGCUAAGCUGAUGCUUCCCAGCGGGCUCAUCACUUCAUAUAAGCCUUUAAUGUGGCAUGGAGCCACCAUGGAGUUACUGCACACCUCAGUCUCAGAAGGGAAAAAUGGUGAAGCACUUAUUCACGGUGGAGUUUCAUUAGACCUCAAGUUUGAUCUGAACGGGAUUUUAUGGUCUCCAAAGACUUGGACUCUGCGUGGAGUUCAAGGAAGCUCUCUGGAAUUUAUUCAGGUCAGUUUUGUUGUAGUACUUGUUUAUCAACCCUGGAGAAGCUUGUGACACCAUGAUUGACAAUCUCCACACAUUUAUUAAGAUAAACAUGCGCGCUCAAUUAUUAAUUGGAUAUCAGAUUGAAAAGAAGAGGCUGCUGGAAUCCAAUAGUUCCUUUUCAUUCCAUCCUUAACUUUUGAAUUCCCUGUCGUUUCAAACUCAGUACCUUAUUGAUGUCCAGAUGUACUUAUGCAGGUAGAACUGAUAAGCCAAAAUGUAGAAAGCAAUAUUGAAGUUAAACAGAUCAUAACACUCGGAGAAGAUGCUUUAUCGCUCUAAAUUCUAGUCUGCAACUCAAGUGAUACAUCCGUCCAUUUCACGGGUGCAGUUAUAAGUCAUCUGACGGCGAGAGCACUCCAGAAGCAACUUAUGCAAUCGGACUAGAAGGAUCAGAUUUUUUAGCAAGACUCCACUUUUGACAGAUUUUAGUCUUAUUCACCCCAGCUUUGGCAAGAUAGGAUCAAGGAAAGCAAGAGGUCUUAUGGACUUCACGGGAUUCUUUUCCGGCUGGGGUGUGGAUCAAGACAGUGAGAGAAUGAGAAAAGAGACAGAAGAAGGUCUGGAGGAGAAGAAGAGGAUGGUUACAAAAAUUUGGCAGAGGAAAUGAGCAGAAUAUAAACCAGCGCACCUCGCGAUUUCACGUCCUUGACAGGGUAUGGAAUUUAUUAUGGAGAUUUUACGUACGUUCCUGAUUCCUUUAACAUUUUCAGAGCAUUCGCUGCCCAUGUCGUAUAAGAGUCUUUUUCCACUGUUGAUUUAUGUAUGUGCUUCCUAUUGCUCUGUCCAUCAGUCGUCUUUAUGCUCUAAAAUUAUCACUAUUUCUCAUGUGGAUCAAGGGGAGGAGAAACUCAGUCCUGGUAGGGAGAAAUGGGUUCAAUGAACUUUACAUGUUCAGUCCAGGUUCAAGUCAUGAAUGGUAUGGCAAAUACUCUUAUAUAUGUGUAGGACAAGCGGCCCUGCUUCAACCUAUAACCUUGAGCUCCCAAAGUGAAUGGAGAGGCAAGCAGCGUUUAUGUAAUCCAAACCGCUGAGCGAGGCUCUAAAAAGUCUACUAGUCCAGUGUACACAUAAAGGGAUGUCAUCAAACUCUGAACAGAAUUUGUGGAUCAGAAUAGAGAACAUUUAUCUUUACUACUGCAAGGAACUUAGGCCAUCAUGUCAUCGAUAAAAUAAAUCUGAAUCAGUAAUUGCAACAUUAAGCCCAGCAACAGCCCAUACUACACGAAAAGGAAAAAAGAGCAAGGAGCAGAAAAGUCCCUUUUGCAUCCUUUGCAUAUCAUUCAAUGGCAAUAUGUUUCAGUAGCACUAUUACAUAAAACAGGACAUAGUCUUUGGAGAUUGCCAAUCAAAGUACCAAAAUUCUUCAUCUUGUUUACUGCUCUGCUACACAACUAAAGAAGAAACGGCUCAGUAAGUAUUUGUUGUUUAUAAGGCAUAUCAGCCUGAUUACUUUCCAGGGUAUUAACUCAACUAGAACUAUAUUAGCUCUUAUGGCCUGCCACCAAAACAAGUUAGGUGGGGACAAGAUUGUAACCUUCUCCUUGAUCAUCAAUUAACAUGAAGCAUAAAUAGUUGCAAAUAUAACAAAGAGAAUGCCGAGUGUGUUGCGAGUAGGCUUCCAGUAGCCUUUCAGACCAUCAACUCUAGGAAGUUCCAACUUUGGAGAAGGUUUUGUUGUAUCCUCAGCAGGGAUAUCUUGUGUUGAAGACACUGAUUCGGAGCUUCCUCGUAAUGCUUCGGACCCUGUAGGUGACUUCCCAUUCCCAUUAAUCUCAAGGCCCCUCAUUUGAUGAACGCCAUUCUGUUUAUAUUUUGAAGUAGGAGUCAUUUCAUAUUGGCUUGAAGGACUUCUGAAUCUCCUAUUUGGUUUGUCAGAGUCUGAACUUUCCUCAUUUUGAUCCUGAAGGGAGUGAAUUAGCUUUCUUGGUGUUGCAAAGAUCUUUACACUGUCAACAUUGAUGAGAGAGCGAGAACGCUGAUAGAUAUUGCACACGAGAAACAUAUGGGUCAGCAAAAGCAAAAGCAUUUUCAAACAGACUACAAAGCAUGAACAUGUUCACAAAUUAAAGCUUUGGAGUAUUCUAUGCAGCAAAUUCUCUUGUCUCUAAAGGUGAGGUUCAUUAUUCAAUUUAAACAAAUGCAAAUCUGCACUAGGAUCUUAGACUUCUUUAAAAUGCAUCAUCAAAUCAUAUUCCAUGGAGAUGUUUUCUUCUUAUGCCAUUUUCUUGCUAUUGAAUUCAAAAUCCAGCAUGAAAUUGUUGUUCCAGACGUGUGAAUAUUCAAAUGCCUAGUAGGCCUACCUGAGGACUGGGAGUGGCACUUCUUACAACUCUAUUUCUGGAACUAGUUUGGCAAAAUCCAACAAAUCCAUCCGUAUAAUCUCCAGAGAAAUCAGAAAAACCAUCAUGCUCAGAGCUCCCCAUGGCACUUCCGCGUGUUACCUCUGAAAAGAUACCAUCCUUGAGAGAGACGUCUAAAACACCAUUCUCACACCUUGACCACAGUUUCCGAUUCACACUCCUUCGAUCAUAAGCAAAGUCUGGAGAGGUCUGAUUCGUUGAAAUUGGGGAGUCAAAGAAGGAAUCGUGCCCACAAAAUGAAUUGACAGUCUGUGAUUCAGGUGAAGCUGUCAGAGGUGAUUGAUCCCCAGAAUCCGACAAAUUUCUUCUUCUUAAAUUUCCUCUCCUGUCAAAAUUUGAGCCAGUGACUGAAACCAUAUCUUUCUCAAAUUUUGAGCUUUUCUCAGUACAUAUCUUUCGAGCAGUUUGCAAUGCUUCAAAAGCAGCCCCACUUACGUAAGCCAUCUGAUCAGACUGACAGUUCUCCAUCACCUUAAUUAUUAAUUCCAACUCAGAAGAGAUGCUUUUGAUCCAAACACUUCAUCAAAGAGUUCACCAUAUGAAUGGCGGACAAUCUUUUUUGGGAAUUGGCAUCUUCAUUCAGAAUCUGCAAUCCAGUGCGGAUCAACAACCUUGCAUACGCCUCGACAGUCAAACUGUUGUGCUUAGCCAAAGACAUCACAAGUGCCAUGUGCGAAUUAGUUUGCAAGUGCUUGUCCAAAGCUCCAGCAACUCUCUGACACACCUCAUUCACCAUCCCGUUUGAAGCAAACCUCCAGUUAUCGCACUCUACUAGAGCCUUCAGACAAAGAGCAGCUCCAGAAGAUAGGCUCUCAUGACUGCCCAAAAGACAAUCGGAGAGAGGCUUACAGAGAGAAUGAAUGAUGUGUCUCUUCUUGUCCUCGGGAGUAGUUGGGUCCAUUCCAUAUCUGGCAAUUGCCGGAACCACCUUAGAGCAAGCUUGGUGAAGAGCAAAAGAUCCUGCACUUGACGUCAAAGUCUUGAUAAUAGUGGUCAUGAUGUUGUCAAUUUGAGGGACAAUUUUAUGUCCAUGAACACGAGCAAGAACCUCGUAUAGUGAGAUCGUAUACUCUCCAGAAGAACCAGUUUCUUUGGUCUCGGAAACCUGUGCGAGAAAGAGAGGGAUAGCUUUGGAAUCCAAAUCUUUGACAUAGGAUUUCAAGGCUUUCAUAGCAGAUUUUCGACUGUCAGCAUCCUUGUCAAGAUUUUCCAACUCCCUUCUGACCAUGGGACUAAGACUUCUUAUUCCCAUAGGGAGACCACCUAUAUGUCCCUGAGGAACGAACUCGGUCAGUAAAGAGGUUAAGUGGAAUUUAUCGCGUCAAUUUUUUCUUUAAACUCAAAAAAAAAAAAAAAGAAUUGGUCGUUGUACAAUGAUAUCAAACUUGUGAAAUGAGAAUGACAGAAGUUGGCACACGAUAUGUAACACAAGCAUAGAUCUUGAAAAGGUGAAAACAAGUUAGCUUUGUGGCAGUAAAAUCAAAGGAAAAAAAAUCUUUUUCAUGGGCAUGUCAGAUUUCAAACUUGUAGAAUCAAGAAGCUAGCAGCAUACACAAAUGUCAACCACACAAGAUGUUGAUAUAAAGGAUGCUUCUAGUUUCUUUACUAGGUCACAAAAAAAAACUCAUGCCUUUGGGCGUAAAAACUGCAGAGAAAAUGAAAAGCUACAGCCUUUUAAUUUUUAAAUUUUUUUUUUACAGGAUGGUGAAAAGGGUUGUUGAUAAUAUGGAUAAAUAUGACGUUGUGAAUUCCAAUCAAGAAAAGAGGAAGUGUGGCGACUAAAAUUGGGUGAUGGACUCGACAAGAACCCUCUCCCUGCCCUGCGGUGGAUAAACAUUUGAGGCGUACUUGUAAGAGAAUAAAAAGGAAAGAACUGAAUUGGCAUAAACAAAGACACCCUCCCAAGGGCCAAGAUAGAUAGAUAGACAGAGAGAUGAAGAUCAUGGAAUAGUAGUAGUUAAAUGAAGAAGGCGGUACCUUAUCUGUUAAUAUAGACGAGAGUCCCUCCCUAGUCCCGCCCUAGUGUCGAGUAUUAUGCUGCUUCUUGCUGGGAUUCUUGUGCCAAGAUCUGGGCUUUACGGAAUCUUUUUCUUGCCGUGAUGUUGCAGCAGUAGGUUGUUUAGACUUUUACAUUGCUAAAUGGCAAUGCAUCCCGCCGCCGCCGCCGCAACCCUCAAAGCAAAAGUAAAAUGUGGUUGCCGAAUCAAGCAAGGGGAGGAAGCAGAGAAGAUGUAUUUAUUUAUGUGGGGGAAUUGAAGUGAAGGGGGGCCGGAGAGCUGUGUAAGUAAGUGUGUUGUUUCCUGGCGGGCGCUACUGAGACAGUAUGCGAAGGGGCUUUCCGAUGGUUGUCUGAUUCUGAUAUGAUACCAUAAAAUCUUCUCUCUCUCUCUCUCUCUCUCUCUCUGCCUUUUUUGACAAAAAAUUACAUAAACGCAUAUCAGAAUACUAAUAGUCAGUCAGUCAGCUGGAGCUCGGAUCCAUUUGGGCGGUGUCGGAGUCUAAUUCAUCUUCUUUUGAAUCUUUUUCUUGAAUUCCCCCGCUAUCCUUCCCCAGUCCCCCCGCCCGCCCCUCCUUUUCAAUUCCUUCCUGCUUACUACUCACCCUUCUUUUCACAUUUCAUUUUCCGGUUCCAACCUUUCCUUCCAUUUUUUUUUGGUUUAAAACCCACAGUUCCACGCAACUAAUCGCUGUCACUAGUCCCCCUUUCAUAACUCACAGUUUUUUGUAUGAGUGUUUCGAUAAAUGGACCCUGCGAAGACACUUCAAAAGCCGGCAACUUUUGAAGUGCUCCGCAGCACUUAACUACUAAACCCCCCAAACCCCCCAAGCGAUGUGGGAACUUAACCCCACAGGGUGCCCUGCUGCUAAGAAGUAAAGACCCCCCAGACUCCCCGAGACAGGUUUUUCCCUUUCAUAACUCACAGUUUUUUGUAUGAGUGUUUCGAUAAAUGGACCCUGCGAAGACACUUCAAAAGCCGGCAACUUUUGAAGUGCUCCGCAGCACUUAACUACUAAACCCCCCAAACCCCCCAAGCGAUGUGGGAACUUAACCCCACAGGGAAUCGCUGUCACUAGUCAACAGUGCGUACAACUGUAAACGAAUCAAAUCGAAUCGAGUAUCUCAUGUUUGAGCUCUGUUCGUUAAGUGAUUCGAACAACGUUCGUGUUCGUUUGUUAAUUUUCGAACUCCAAAUUUGUGUUCGUGUUCGGCUCGUUAAGCAAAGUUUCGUGUUCGAAUUCGAGUUCGUGUUCGGUUCGAAAUGCUCGAAUCCAAAUUAUUUUAAGCCUUAAAUAUGCCAUGCAAAUUAUUACUCAUUCUAAAAAAUAAUUAAAGUAUUAAGUGACUAAAUUCUAUUAUUCAUUAACUAUAUAACUAAGGUUGUGUUUGGAUUGCAUUUUCCGUCAUUUUUCAUGGAAAAAUUACUGUAGCGAUUUGAUAUAUGUGAGGGAAAAAGGUGAUAGGGAAAUGUGAUCACGGAAAACGAUAAUAUUUUCCGACGAAAACCUUCAAUCCAAGCAAGGCCUAACAUUAACAUAAAAACAACAAAUAAAAAAACAAUUUGCCCUCCAAGUAUAAAAGUUCAGUCAUAAAAUUAACCUUAAAUUUUGUCAAAUGAUAAUUAUGUUCAUGUUCGCGAACGUUCGUUAAAACUUGCGAACAUACUCGUGUUCGCGAACGUUCGUUUAACAUGUUCACGAACGUUCGUUAAAACUUGCGAACAUGCUCAUGUUCACUCGAUUAUUAAUCGAACAAAAAAAUUCGUUUGAACUCAAUCCGUUUAAAGUUUCGAACGAGUCUUUUACGAACACGAACGAGUCGAAACGAAAUGAGCUACCGAACAACUCGGUUCGUUUAACAGCUCUAGCAGUGCGUAUUGCUGCUGCUGUUUUACCAAAUAUGUUACGAUUGUUUGCUUAAUUAUUCUAUUAGCUUUUCCUCUUAAUGUUGUAAAUUUUUUUUAAAGGAAACAUAUCCGUUUGGUUUAGGAUGCAAAGAAAAAGGGUGAAAAAAAGGAAAGGAGGUGGUAGAUGAUACUGCUAGAGGGCCCCUCGGGGUGCAGCUCACCUGGUCGUGUCGUCUGUCUUUACAGCAUCGAUCACAGUUCGAUUCUCCCUGAAUUAAUGCGCUGGGGUGAUUCCAAGAUACUCCUGUGUCGACAAAAAAAAAAAAUACUACUAAAGUAAAAAAAUAGGACAGAGAGCAAAUUUUACUUCAUGGGACAACUUUGUCCUUCCUUACAUUAAUAAUCAUUACUUCAAUUAAUUCGUUCAAGCCCCGUAACAAACCUCUUUUUUUUCCUGUUCUCAACUCCAACAAAUUUUCGGUCCUUGAUCAUUAUGAUCGCCGUAACACUAAAGCUGCCGUCGAUCACUGCCACAACCAUUGACCUCCUGCCCAAUUUCAUCUAAAAAAUUCAACAAAAGCUUAUUAGUCUUCCCUAAUUGAAAUGGACAAACUUCCCUUUGACACUUUCUUCCAACCAAAUUUCAUCUCUCAGCAUAUGUCCUCAUUUUUCUAUUCCAAUCAACCAUUCAUAAGUUUAAAGGCGAGAUAUGUGACACAUGUUAAUCCAAAUAAUAUGCAAGUUCAACCAAUAAAAGGGUGACCAUUAACUACUCUUGGGAAACAAAACAAAAAAAAACAAAUGCCUUGCAUAAUCCAUUUGUUGGUUCUUUCUUCACGAUCAUUGAUUUCAAUUCUAGAAGAUGAGAAAGAAAAAAAAAAAAAAGUGAUUCGCAGAGUAUUGGAGUGUUUGGAUAGCAUUACUAUUAUCUCAAAUAAUAUUUCGUUUCCCAAUCAGACUAGCAUUCAUUUGAUUGUAAGGUGAGGCAUUUGAAAUUAACUGCUGAUGUAUUAGUAUUAAAUUGUUCUUUCCCUUUCUCCCUUCUCCUUUGCCUCUUUAAUUCUACUCCAACAUGAUCAUUUUACGAGAAAUCCUCUGUGGCCUGCACAUCCAUCCGUCCCACUGUAACUGUUGGUUGAAUUAUGGUAAUUUUUUGAUUGACAAGAAAUUUCAUCGAGUAGGUGUACGUAUACGAUCCUAGAGUGGAGGAUUCAAUUUAUUCAGUCUAAUUAAUGAACAUUUGGCUACAGGGUUUUACAUUUCAAUCCACGGACUACCGAAUUUGCAAGAAUUACAACGCUUCAAUACGUUGACAAUAAUUGACUUCUGGCUGCCAGUUUUGAAUAAUAAUAAUGAUGACAAAAUACUCUUAUCGAUUAAUUUGUCAUGGCUAUUGAUGGAUGUCUUAAAAUGAAUAGAAGUUGAUAUUUGGCAAAUAAAAAAUGAUUUAGACCGUAAUGAAUAGGGGUGUGCAAAAUCGAAAAAUUUCGAUUUAUCGACCGAAUUCGAAAUUUUUGAAAUCAGUAAUUCGGAAUUCGGCACUGAAAUCGGAAUUUCCGAUUUCGAAAUCAGAAAUCGAAUUCGGAAUUUUCGAUUUCAAUUUCGUUUUAUAAUAUAUAUAUUAAUAUUUAUUUAUUUAUAUAUAUAAUAUUUUUUAUUUCAAUUUCGUUUUAUAAUAUGUAUAUUAAUAUAUAUUAUAUAUAUAAGAAUAUUUUUUAUAAUAUAUGCAAUAUAAAAUUUAUAUUAUAUAACAAUACAUCUAACAAAAAAGAAAAAAAGGGGAAAAAGGUUUCCGAAUUCCGAAUUGAAUUCGGAAUCGAAAUCGAAAUCGGAACUGGUGAAUUCGAAAUCGAAAUCAGUUGGUAAUUCUUAUGCCAAAAUUCCGAAAAAUUCCGAAUUCAAACUUCCGAAUUAUCGAAUUCGAAUUCGAUGCACACCCCUAGUAAUGAAAGAAAGGUACUUGUUUGGAUUGCAUUUUUUUAAAUUUUUUGUAAAAAAAAUUAUUGUAACGAUUUGAUAUACGUGAGAUAAAAAGAUAAUUAAAAAAUGUAUUCACAGAAAAUUGCUAUCCAAACAAGAUUUCCCGCCUUUACAUGAUUCCUGAUAUAUGCUCGUUGGCGCCUGUUCUCGUUAAAUGAUGCCCAAAGCCAAAGGAACGAUAUCCUCUUUGGAACUACAGAGUCUGGCAGAGGCAGAGACAGCGACGUCAGUAGCACAGGGCAUUGGGGCUCCCAACUCAUUCUCAUCCUAUCGUCAAAAGUUCUAUAGACUAACGGUAACAAAAGAAACUCAAGACGGGGACCCUUCUCCCUGUCCCUGACCUUUGGACCAACAAUUAUAUACUCUAACAAUUCGAUUCCAGUGAUUCAUUUCCAAGCCAAAAACCCAAAAGAGAAACUGUACGAAGUAAAGGAAGCCUCGUCAAAAAGCAGCUUCAACCUGCAAUAUAUCACACCAUUUCCUUCCAUAAACCAACAAGAAUCUAUCAAACUACACUUUUUAUGAAGUCGUAGAAUCAGUACAGUCUUUACUUCUUCCAGUCCUUCAUUCCUAAGUCUAAGAAUGGAGGAGUAGUUUCUUUGUUCUUGGCGGAAACUACUGUUGCACCAUUGACCUGCAGCUCCUCAACCCCAUUUACAGUUUUACAGCCGCCAAUAAACAUACAUCCACCCCUCCUCCACCCUCCAUACAUAACAUUACUUCAUUUUGCUGACAUUCAUGAUUAAACUUAACAAACGUAAUCAAUAGAACCUCAACCAUUUAACUUCAAACGAUGCCUCCAAGAAUAAAUGAAUGAUUCGCAUCAUACCAAAGGGAAAAAAUAUUUGAUAUGAAUGAUUGAGCUGUACAGUUGUAAGCAAGACCAGUUUAGAGCUAAUUGUAUCUUACCUCACGGUUAUCAUUCAACCACUCAUUCUUAGCCAUACCAUGGAGAAGAAUCCCAAGUUUCUGCUGAAGCACAUUCAUUCAUUCUGGAUGUCGGAGCUAUCGCUUGAGAUUCACUAGUCCCAAAACUAAAGGAAUGAAAUGCAACAAUCUCAGGAGUCACAAAUCGACACAAGUUACGGAACAAGAAGUCAUGCAUCCAUAAUUUGGGCUAACUAAACGUGCUGCGCCUCCCCGUACAUUCCCUCUUACUCCACUACACGUCUCAGAUUCAACUAAAUCCCCAGUUUUACUACAUGGGCAUGCAUUGUGAAGUCCUACACCAGUUGGAAAUUGUGCUAUGGCUUCUAAUCUACAGCUUCUUCAUCUGGAAGGGAAAAAAAAAGGGAAAGACACUGAUUUCACAAGUUACCAGAAAUAUUCAUACAUUCCGUAUGAAACUUGACAUAAAAUGAUAAAAUUUCUAAUCGACCAUUUUGUUUCAUUGAACAGCCAGAACCCGACAGCAGGCAGAGCAAACUUUGCUUCAUUUGGACUGACAGGUUAAUUAAAAUCAGCAUCAAAAGCAAAACCCGUUCCAAACUCUUCAUUUCAAUGUCUGUCACACUCCUGGUCCCAAUCCCCUUCCCGGUAAUCAACCUUCUUUCAUUGAGGCAUUUCGUAAAGUUUUUUUUUGCACUUGUCAUUCUCUAAGAACUAAGUUAUGAAGGAGAGAAGCACUGGCUCAUCUAUUCCCAAUCAUCCUGCUGGUAAAUCAUCGCAAGGAAAGAAAAAAUGUAAAGGUAAUAAACUGAGCUACUUUGAAAGAUUAAACAGAGUAUGAGUUCGAAUAUUCCUAGAUAUGUCAGCUUCAAGUGGAAGAAAUUAUCUAUAGCCACCGGAGUUAAUUCAUGAAUCUUGGAAUUAAUAUAAAUACAUUCUGGAAUUAAUUCAUGAAUUUUGUGCCAAUAGUUCAAAGUUUCUUCAGAUUAUAUUGGAACGGGAAAAUAUACGAAGCUUAAGCUGCACAAAUGACAAAACACACAGACCUUCUGCAAAAUGGUUGACUUUAGACUCUAAACAAGACACUUACUAUGGCUACCUAUCAAGCACAGGCUGGCACGAACAACCAGAACGUACCAGCAAUUUGCAUUUCAGAAAAUAAAGCGAAUGCUACAGAAAAAUACACAUUUUCUCAUAGAACUCUAUACUACCAGAAAUUGAAAGGCAUACUCAUUCUUACACCAACAGAAGUAUGGUGGAGAAGGAAACAUGAAAACAAAUAGCAUUGCAUCAUCAUAAAAGGAAACAAACGGGAACUCAACAGCUACACGUUCAUAAACCUUUAUAACCAACAAAACAGGAGUAACCUCCAGUGGAGAAUGCAUUUUGUUGCACUAAUAAAUUAACUCUAGGUGUUGCCAUAUCUGUCCGGCUUAUUUUGCUCUUUAGCAUAAAUAAAGUUAAUCAUACAUUUUUAUUUGGAGUAUGAAAUGUAACAUAAAAAUGCAGAUGGCUCAAGUAGCAGCAAGAAUCACAAAGUAGCAAGGACUAGCCAAAGUUUUCUUCACUCAGCAUACACAUUGAAAGCCUUGCAUGCUUAAAUGGACAUGUAUAAAAGAAGAAUAGAUAGCUUUUUUUGCCCCUUUCUGUAGAAUACGGCAUAACCGUCAAAAGACACAAUUGCAUUAAUCAUCAUGGCUAACAAUCAGUGCGGGUACUAGGAGAAAAAAGAUACUACAUCGUCGCCAAUCUUGCGAGGUUGUAAAUUCCAAAGAAAAGAGACUACACCAAAUAUACACUCCAGCAGUUGCAUUAAUGAAAAGGAGACAUGAAGAUGAAGUGAGGAUUUACUAAUGCCGAUAGAAGUAGUCCAUUUGAUUUAUUAUUGUGCAUCGAGGUGGUUCAGAGAGAAGAGAGAUGGUGGAUGGGUGAAGACUUAGACGUAGCCACCAUUGACGCGAAUGAUCUGACCAUUAACCCACCCCCGCAUCAGUAGCCAGGAAUCCCACCAGCGGAGCCACGUCCUCUGUUUCGCCCAGUCUACCGAGCGGGCUCUCGUCCACAACCCUCUUGAUCAUCUCUUCUGUCAUCCCAGCAAAGAACAUGUCCGUGGCGAUAGGCCCGGGGCCACGCAGUUGGCGGUUAUACCGGUCCCCUUGAGCUCCUUGGCCAGUAUCUUGACCAUGGACUCCACGGCGGCUUUGGACCCCACGUAGGCAGCGAAGCCAGGCCUCAAGUCGGCCACCAAGGAGGUGGUCAAGCAGAUGAUCCUCCCUCCGCCGCCGCGCUUGAUCCUGUUGGCAGCCUCCCUGCAGCACAAGAAGGCCCCCUGGCGUUAACGUUGAAGAUGUUGUCGAAGUCUUCCAGGGCGGUGUUGGCCAGGGUUGGGUACUUGGAGUCGAGUACACCAGCGGAAUUGACGAGGAUAUGAACAGGGGAGGAGUUGAAGGCGGACUCGGCGGAGUCGAAGAGGGACUUGACCUGGGCUGGGUCGGAAAUAUCGGCUCUGACGGUGAUGGCGCGGGAAGCAGAAGCAGAAUUGAUUUGGGAGGCAACGAGGUCGGCUUGAGCUGGGUUGGAGGAGUAGUUGAUCACGAGGUUGGCUCCGAGAGAGGCAAGAUGGAGGGCUAUGGCCCGCCCAAUUCCCCUGGAGCCGCCGGUGACGAUGGCUACUCGGUCUUUGAGAGGGAGGGGGAUGGAAUCAGCCAUGCUGCCGCCUGAUCCUGACUCCUGCUAACUGCUAAGUUGAAGUAGCGAAAAUGGAUUGGAUGUCUUUGGUUUGAUUUGGGAUUAUUUAUAGCUACGGACAUUGCCUUAGUUAUACUGAUACAUGCCAUGCGGGAAUUUUUUUUUUUUUUAAAACAAACGACAUUUUGUGGUUUUUGGGUUGGGGGGGUUGGUUGUUGGUUUAAGGGACCGCUGCACAUUGAUUAGAAUCUGACAUUUGCAUCAUAAUCCACACAAAUGGCGGCUCUCACCAUUCUUACGAAUAAUCUGGCCAAUGACCCACCCCAGCACCAGCAGCCAAGAAGCUACAGGGUUUCUUCACCAUUCCUCUGGUUACCCUAGAAUGGAAGUCCACGCAUAAGGAGGCCCCGGUAGGCAAUUAUCCUGGAUCCUAUGAGCUCCUUGACCAGUAGCUUCACCAUGGACUUUAGGGCUGUCCUCAGAGCCAGCAAAUGUCCUAAGCUGGGAGCCAAUUAAGCUACAGCCAUGGAUGGGGAUAAGCAUAUGAUGAUUCCUCAUCUGUGCCUUAUCCUGUUGGCAGCCUCCCUGAAUCAUGAGAAGCCAACCCCUGCAUUGACGCUGAACCUGCUUUCAAACUCUUUGAUGGUGGUGUUUGCCAAUAAGGGAAACUUGGGGAUGAAGAGCUGACAAGUGGAUGAAACUAUGAAGCAGGGAGCUUGAGCAGAGUGAUGUACUUGAUGACAAGCUCGGCCCCAAGUGAGCCUAGAUUGAGGGCAAUGGCCAGCCCUAUUUCAAGAGAGCUUCCAGUUUACGAUGUCUAACCAGUCUUACAGAGGAAGGAUGGUGGCUUGCAUGCUUCCUGUCUGAUUGGUGGUUUGUGGUAAUAUUGGUUUGAACAGUAAUCCUAAGGAUUCGAGCAGAGAAGAAACUGACAGCUGGUUAUAUUCUUCCCAAGAUUUGGUAGAAAUACCAAAAAAUAGACUCGGGAAGCUUUUGUCUUCUUGUUUGGCAUGUAAAUAUGUUACUUCCAUCCCAGCCGAUCAAUGAUAUGUAGCACUAUUAAUCUUGGAUCCAAUAAACUCAUAUUGGACGGAUAUUGAUUUAUUGAACACCUCCUUCAGUUGAUUAAUAUUGAAAUUAAUUUGCUCUGCAGAAUCAGACAGAGUUCUCAUCCCAUGUCUACUGCAUCUGCCACCAGGAAAAUACAAAAGAAAUAUAAAUUUUCCAACCUUACCACAUUGAUCAGCAUAUGCCAAAAUAUAGCACUGUGAAAAUUUUAUGUUAGAUAGGAUUUUUGGAGUCCAGAUUCUAUGACAAUUUUCAAUUCAAUACAGCACUAUUAAUUAUAAUACAUGAAGUCGAUUAGGAUAUGCUUGUACUCACAAGGUUUUUUGUCCCCCUUCUUUUGGGGUAAUCAAUAAGCUAGUGUAUUUGAUAUAUUGACCAGUCAGAAAUGGGCUUCUAUUGUUCAUAUGACCUCCAAAAUUCAGUGUUUGUUUCUUCAAUGCAAGUACAAUUAUGUGAGAUACUGAGGACUACAAAAAAAUACCUUGGCUAUUUUGUUCCCUUAAUUACUAAGUCUUGAAUUGUAUUGAAUCAACAAUCGAAUAGAGAGGAGAAGAUAUCAGAACACUGUUUCUCCCCUCCAAUUAUAAACAUCUAUCUUGCAUUAUUAUCUACAAGUGAGAAUCUCACCUAAAAACUUGAUUCCAGUUUGGCUUGUCCAUAUCUCCACGAAAGGACGCAUAAAGACCAGGGUCCUCCUGAAAAAGAACAACACCAAAUCAACAUCGACAUUUUCAUAAUGCCUCAGUACUCAAAACAACUUGGCAAGCACCUGAUCAUGCAGAAACCAAAGUGGAUUGAGUUAUGAGUGUGACAAGACUUGACCAAGGGCUUUACCUUUGAAAAGAGAUACAUAAAAGACAUCAUCACGUGUAAGAAAGGACAAUUGAAACUUAAUGCUUGUGGCGUUCAUCAGACUACGAUUUCGUUAAAUUAAAGACACGCAAAUAGCACAAUUAUCAUUUAGCCAACUAACCACGAAAAGUAGUUCUUUGUAAGUGCUAAGAAGUUCAAAACCAAAACCCAACACACACUAGAAUUGACUGACACUACUGGUAUUCCAAGAGAAAGCUGUAAAACUAGAUAAUGCAAAUUUGCCAUGAUCAAAAAGAGAUAGGUUUAGGUAAAAUAAAGGCCUAAAAUAAAUGCUGUUAAACUUUAUCUGUAUAAUGGCUAAGCAGUACAAGUCUUAAAACAGUUUCAAUCUGAAAAGCAAAAAUAGAGAUGGUUGAGGGCAGAAAGAAAAUGGAGCCCCUCUGCUGUCUCCUAAUUCUACAUGAAAGGGACAAUGCAGUAGUGUACGGUCUCAACAUACUUCAAUAUGCCACAAUGUGACAACAGAAGUGGUUGUUCUUCUGUGCAGUGCAACCCAUUCAAGUCAAUAUAGAAAAAACACCAAACUGAAUGCAAGGUUGACAGGGUGUUAGUACUUGUACCAUUAUCAAUCAGACAGCAAACUGCAACGAGAUAAACCAGGAAAAGUGAAAGAACUAACCUAGUUAAUUACAAGAAAAAGGUUUUGGGAGCAAAAAUUUCCCAAUCUCCUACUUUUGGUUCUUGAGCUGGAAGCAUGAUGAUCCCACUUGUGUUCACAACUUUCUAAUAUAUCAAGCUACCAGUAAUCUUUGCAUGAACAAAACCAUCCUUAAAAUGAUGGAACCGGUAUGUAUCCCUUACAACAAUAGUCCGAUUUUCUACCUUUGAAACAUACUUAAUCCAAUUAUGGCAAUCAUUACAGACCCGAAGGUUUUUCAUCACUCGUAAUGGAAUUGAAUCAGACAAGCUCAGCAGUCCAAAGGCAAUAGCCAACUUUUCGCUGUGGAUCAAUGCAGUUGGGUCUUUUUGACCAAGCUCCAGUCAUUCCAAAUGCUAUAUCGGUCCUGUAUGUAACCCAUUGCAGCAACCCUAACAUUUAAAUCCUCAAGAAACGCGUAGAUCUGAUCUGCAAGAGGAUGGAGCUGAUCACCGACGAAAAAGGCAUGGAACGAGUUUUUAACUUCAAUCCAGCUACGACCAGGCUCUUUCUUUACACCUCUGUCUUUCAUCAGCUUCCUUGCAUGAUUGCGAUAAACCCAUUUCCCGGAAACCGCAUACAUAUUGGAUAGAAGAACGUAGGUAGCAGAGUCAUUUGGCUCUAAUCUCAAAAGAUGUUUAGCCGCCAAUUCUCCAAUUUCCAUGUUCUUGUGAACUGUGCAAGCACUUAAGAGUGUUCUCCAGACCAUUGCAUCUGGUUCAAUUGGCAUAGUCUCCACAAAUUCUAUUGCACGGGACAAAUGACCUGCCCGUCCUAAAAUAUCUACAAUACAAGCAUAAUGUUCUGAUUUUGGCACCAGAUCAUGUUUUUCUCUCAUGGACUUGAAAUAGCUGAGCCCCUCAUCCACCAAACCCACAUGGCUACAGGCUGAUAAAACUCCGAUAAAAGUAACGUUAUUUGGCCUCACAUCCAGUUGUUUCAUUUCCUCAAACUGUUCAAUUGCUUCGGCGGCACAUCCAUGUUGAGAAUAGGCCGUGAUCAUGGCAUUCCAGGAAACUUCAUUUUUCUGAGGCAUUUCAAGAAACUCUCUUUUGGCAUCAUCAAGGCUCCCGGUCUUCGCAUAUAAUGUGAUCAACACAUUUGAAGCUUCUAUCUCAGCAAUAUACCCAGUUUUUAUGAUUUUGGCAUGAUCUGCUUCCCUUGUUUUAAGUUUGUUGUAUUAGCAGCUGCACUGACCACAGACCCAUAAGUGAACAUAUUGGAUUCUACUCCAGCUAGAUUCAUCUUAGAGAACGUGUAUAGAGCUUCCUCCCAGUGCCUGCUUUGUGAAAAGCCUGAUAUCAAUGCAUUCCAUGAGAUGUUAUCCUUAUUUUUAUUUUUGUCAAAUGCCAAGUACGCAUCCUGUACUUUGCCGCAUCUAGCAUAAAGGCUUAUUAGUGCAUUGCUAAUUGACGGGUCCAAGGAAUAGCCAGAGGUGAUUGAUUGUGCAUGAAUUUGUCGUCCUUGAUUGAUUGCUUGAAGUCCAGCACAUGCAGUAAGAGCACUUGCAAAUCCUAUAUUAUCUGAUUGAAUGCCCAAGUCUUGCAUUUCUAUGAAAAGUUUGAGGGCUUCCAAGAAAAGAUCAUGCUGAGUGUAUCCAGCAAUCAUUGCUGUCCAAGAGACAAUAUCUUCCUCUGUGAGACGCCUGAGAAUUUUCAGCCCAGUAGCCAGAUUUCCAUGUUUUGUAUACAUAUCAAUAAGCACACUGCAGACAUAAGCAUUUUGGUAAAGUCCAGUUUUGAUGACUUGACUGUGAAUUUGCUCCCCUAAGUCAAGAGCUCCUACCAGAGUACAGGUUCUCAAGAUACUUGGGUAGGUAUAUUGAUUAGGCUGCAGGCCUCGACUCUGCAUCUGUUCAAAAAUCCUAACGGACUCGUUCAGAUCACCUCUGAGACCAUAAGCCACUAGCAUCACAUUCCAGAGAACCACAUUAUCUUUCUGUGUUGUGAGGAAGAAUCUAUGAGCUGAUUCAACAUCAGAACAUUUGACAUAAAGGUCAAGCAGAGAACCUUCAAUGAUGAUAUCUGAACACAUUCCAGCCUUAAGCGCAUAAGAGUGCAGUUGUCUUCCCUUCAGAAGAGCUCCAUUGAUGCGCAAGCGCUCAAAAGGCUUGAAAUUGUAACACAGUCAGGCUUCAAGGAGUCAAUCUGCAUUUUCUUGAAUAACUCAACUGACCUCUCAUUAUUUCCUUGUUGAACAAGUCCUGAUAUAAGUGAAUUAUACGAGACCCUAUCCAUCUGCUGCAUUUUGCUGAAAAUUUGUUCAGCAGACAUCGGGUGACCGAAGCGAGAAUAUAAGGUGACGAGAGCAUUACACACAUAAACCUCUGAUGCAAAUCCCCACUUAUAGACAAGAGCAUGAAGCUGCAAUCCAGGUCAUAAAACUCUAUCUUGGAGCAUGCACUUAUAACACAUGAGAAAAUAUAUGGAGUAGGGUUGAUUCCUGAUAUGCGCAUCUCAUUAUAGAGGAUGAUACUGUCUUCUUCACGCCCAUUGUUAGAGAAACCAGAUAUCAUGGCAACCCAAGAUACACUGUCCCUUAAGAACAUAUUCUGGAAGAUUUGCUUAGCAGAAUUGAUGAACCCAUUCUUCGAGUACAAGUCAAUAAGAGGGUUACAAACGACUGUAGCUGCACCAAAACCGUAUUGGAUGACCUUAGCAUGUAUGUGUUCAACGUAUUGAAAAGUGACUUUGCCAGCACCGCAGGCCCUCAAAACACUAGCCAAUGUCCAUUCAUCCGGCAUAACAUUAUCUGCAACCAAACGCGAAAGGAGUCUAAAAACUUGAUUGUUCAAUUUUUCCCAAGAAAACCAGCUAUCAAUGUAUUCCAAGAGGACAGGUUUUUAGAGGGAAAAUCAUCAAACGUCUGCAAAGCAGAAAAUAGAUCUCCACAAGCAACAUAAACAUCAAGGAGCCAACACUGGAAGUCGUGGUCUUGACCGAAACCCAACUUAAAGAUCUUUCCUUGAAUCUUUCUGGUAUGGAUUAAGGACCCAAUGUUCAUACUAUAACAUUCAUUUACAAGCUCUAUAUAGGUCUUAGAAUAAACGGCAGGAAGAUCAACUGAGUCCGCAGCAUUUCCUUUUUCAACAGAUAAAUCAUCCAAAGCUCGUGCAGCCGCAAUAUUACUAAAAGCAGCAAACUUUAACCGAAUAGAGUUCUUCACAAGAGCUCUGUAAAAUUUGACUAGUAAGUGGACUAAGAUCUUGCCAAAGAACAGCAAUAAAGUAGCAUAUUGCAUAUAAAAAGUUUUUUUUUAAAAAAAAAAAAAAAAGAUAAAAGGAGUGAAUGAAGAAAAAUGGAAUAGUUGGGAGUAGCUUAUCGACCUUUGGGAAGUGAUGACGAAGAAGCAGAGAAUAGGGGCACAGCCCACCAAACUUUAUUAGGUUUGAAAUCAUAUGACUCCUUACUAAUGAUAAUUGUAGAUGGUGUUUGGCGAGGAGGAAAAUAGAGAGAAAUUGGGGAGGGUGGGGUGGGAGCAGAGAGACUUUGUUUGAAGUAGAAGGGGGCCGCUAUUGUUGCUGCUAUGGAGUUGCGGUUGUUUGGGUGGAAUCAGCGAGAGAGAGAGAGAGAGAGAGAGACAAAAGCAGGGGAAGGGGGCAACCUUGCAGCCUUGGACGGCGGUGAGUGGUUGUUGGGAGGCUGCUGCCGCCACUGCUGUGAGUGGUCGGUAAGCCCCUUGUGGCUAAUUUGACGGGCCAAAAAGCGUCUGCUGACAGGUUGCCGUGCUGAGUUAGCACGGCAGCGACAGAGAUUUUUAAAUUUUAAAUGGCGUCGUAGCAGAUUUUUGAUAGCAGCCGUUGAUCAAUGGCUAGAUCGACGGCUAGUAGCUUCUCAUGUAUUGUAAACCCGCUGAAAACCCUCAACUCUCUGAUUUCUACCACAUUUCUCUCAUCUCUCCCUCUCUCUCAACCCUCUCAAUUCUCAUUCUCUCUCGUCCGCACAAAGGAAAGGAAAAUAGGAGCAGACCUCCGCCGCCGUGUUUCCAAGUCCUGACGCAGAUGAUCUUUUAAAGCACAGCUCAAGAAGAAGUAAGGGGAACACUUUUUUAUUCUUUUAAUCAAUUAUUGUUUGUGUAUACUUUAUUUUGCUGUAUUAUAUAUCAUUGUCUUAUUUAUUUCCUGUGAAACUGGUUUUAGACAAAGAAUUUAAUUGUAUAUUGUGUUACAAUAAAGUUUAUAAUAUAUUGUUUUAUGUUAUGUUGUUUAGGUGGUCCGAGCAUGUAAAUUAAUAGUAAGUUUAAAUUAAUGGUUCAUAAAAAUAAAAUGAUUUAGAAUUAAUAUGUAAUUUAAUUUAUGACAUUGAAGAACAAAUUAAUAUAGUAUUAACAUUUUGUUCGUAAUUUCAUAAUACUAUUAAGUUUUGUUAAUUGGCCAUGUGAUUAAACAGAUUAGUUAGUUACUAAUUUAAUGGGUUAAAUAUAGGAUUAAGAAUAAAUUAAUUUAGGUAUCAUUGAUGUAGUUUUGACCUAUAAUCAAUGUAAUUAAUUAGGUGUAAUUAAUAAUUUAAAUAAGUGUAAUCAAUGUAGUUAAUCAUUUAAAUAGGUGAAAAAAAAUAAUUUAGAUAAGUGUAAUUAAUCGUAGCUAAUAAUUUAAAUACGUGUAAUUAAUGUAGUUACUCAUUUUAAGUAGGUGUGAUUAAUCGUAGUUUUAGCAUGUUAGUUUUUGUCGAUGGUGAGAUGUAUUAAACUAAUGUUGUGCUAUAUUAGGGAGAACAUGUCGAGCAAUAAUUCCUUGGUGAUUCAUCUUUAUUGGGGAGGAAAAAUUGUAUAUGUUGGAGGAUCAAUGUUAUAUGAUCCGCCUAUGCCGAAAAAAGUUAUGUUCCUCAGAGAAAGAGUAGGUUUUGAUGAACUGGUGGACAGAGCGUACAACAUUAUGAAUCUAGACCGGAAUAAGUAUAAGAUUAGUUUGAUAUUUCGGAUUUGCCUGCAUUAUGGGGUGUUUGGUGCAAUGCCUUUGAUGGAUGAUAAUGGAGUCGACGGAAUGUACUUUUUGAAAGCUAAUAGUGGACAUGCCACCGAGAUCUACAUAGAGGUGGAGGAGCUCUUAAGCUUGGGACGAUAUGAUACUCAAACUUUGCAAAUUGCAAAUCCACAUAUUGAUGGAGGCACUAGUCUAUGUGGAAAGGAGCCAAUGAAUAUAGGCGGGACAACUAGCUUAUUUAAAAGUCAGUUGAUCCAGUUGGAUUCUGGAGAUGCCCAACCGACUCGGAGAGGAUGCAGAAGGGGUACUGGGCGGCAACAUAUUGAGAUGGAUCGUCCAAGCGGUAGUCGGCAGGCAAAACGCAUGUCAAUAGUUGAGCCUCGUGAUUUGGAGACUAAUGCAGCUACAGUGUUCGAGCCCACGACAAAUACUGAUGUUGAAUUUGUAGAUGUGGACGUGGAUUCCGAACCAGAACCAGACACCGAUGAUUCUGUUGAUGAUGACCACAACUAUGAUGCAUCUGAGCAGAGAAGUAAGUCAGGCGAAGGUGGUAUCACCUCAUACACGUUGAGCCUAGUGCACCAUGUACCAUUGAUGUAACACCACAAUUGCGGUAUGAAGCCGGUGUUGAUGCUACGUUACGAUUUGAUCCUCUAGAUGUGAGAGGUGUUGAGAAGCUCAAAUUUUGGAAUGAGCACACGAAAGAGCUACAAUUGGGGUACCUAUUUCACACCAAAGAACAUGUAAAGCGGGCAGUGAAGUUGUGGUCUAUAAAGAAAAAUAGAGAGUAUAAAGUCCGAGAGAGCACUCCAACAACAUGGUAUGUCCGAUGCAAGGCUCGCAACUCCACACCUUCGUGUAACUGGCAGUUGAGAGCAACCUUACGCAGUUCUCAUAAGCUGUGGAUGAUUGUUACUCUUGCAGAUGAACAUACAUGUGUCUGUGUGUGCAACAAUAGUGACCACAGACACUUGAGUGAGGAUAUAAUUGCCGAGUACAUUAUCCCUCACAUCAUCAAAGAUCCAUUUUUCAAAGUAAAGAAAAUCCAAACAAUGGUGAAAAAGGAGCUCCACUGCAAUGUGUCAUACAAGAAAGCUUGGUCUGCUCGGCGCAAGGCUAUUAAUAUUAUAAACGGUGAUUGACCAUCAUCCAUAUCGUAGCUGCCAAUGUACCUGCAGGAGUUCCAAUGAUUCAACACAAGCAUGUCAAAGGACAGGGGCUAAGAGAUUUUGUUACUCGACAACACCUUGUGAUAAAGGCAAAAGAAGCGUGCAUCCUUAAAUUGCCAUUUCUUGUACAUUUUUUACACUAAUUACUUUAAAUUAUCUCUUUAAUUAUUUGAAAUUUAAUUUAUUUUUCUAUAUUUUUAUUCAACCUAAUUGUUUUAAAGUAGAAUAACAUUCCCUAUUUAUUUUAAAUAAAAAAGUAUAAAUAAUUAGAUGAAUAAUUAAAAUUAGAUAAUUUACAUAAUUUAAGGUUAUCCAAAAAAAGUAAAAGAAAAACUCGCACUCUAUCUAAACUAAGAGAUUUUACUACAAAAGACUUACAAACUAUGGGAGAACCCCUCAUUUUUUUUUAAAAAAAAUUGCAUUUUAUGGGCUCUUAAUUUAUAUUACAAAAAACUAUUUCAACACUGUAGACAUUAAAAAUAAAAAAUUUUCAAAUUCUUCAGAGACAUGGCGAGCUCUCAUUCUUUAAAAAAAAAAAAAAAUACUAUUGUUGCUGUGCUGAGCCAUUUUCUGCAGAGUUCCUGUCUCUGCAUGGAAUAAGCUACCAGGAAGAGCAGUAAGCAAGUACGACGUGCCAUUGCCACCACUUUUAUGUCAAAUUAGACCAUUUGGUGGAUUACUGGUAUUUCCUCAAGAUCACUUGCAAAUCUUUUGCAAUCUCCAUCACAAAGAGGGUCGAGAUGGCUUCGCUUGGAAAAGUGGAUAGGAGACAAGAAUGCUCCAACAUAUCUGUUUUUAGUUGAUCCGUUCUGGGAAUCCCGUGACAAACAACAGAUCAUGGUACAAAUCGCACGGAACUCUAAAGCGCUAUAAAGCAUCUGGAUCACAUCACUUAGAAGCACUUGAUGAUCAUCACAUCAAGCACGAGCUUAGAACAGACAAUUAUUGUUUGCUGCACACUAGUUAGCGUCCCUGAAACCCCAUGUGCCUGUUUUUUGCCAUAGAAGGUAGCCAUCUCUCCCCCCUAACCUUUUUCAAACCUGUCACUCGCUCUUCCUCUCUUUUAGCAGCUGCCUUAGCUGCUGCUUCUCUAGCUUCCAAUUUUGCCAAUGCUUUCUGGCCUGCAUCUCUUGCUGCAGCUAAAAUAUCCAUCCCAUCAACAGCAACAGACUGGAGUUGCCGUUUAAACUGCAAACAAGCCCAAAGGAUAUAAGGCCAGUAAGUUCUGAAAAAGCAUACACUUAUACACACCUUUUUUUGGGUUUUUUGGUCGGGGAGGGGGGUGUUUCUAAGCAUACCUUCUUUGACUUCUCGUCAAUCUCUUCUCCAGGAAGUAUUCUUGGUUUCUUAUUUGGUGGUUGAACUUCAUCUGAAAAAUGGUAAAUGUUGCUUUUAUAUCCCUAGGCAAUGCAGAAGAGAACGCAUAAGAAGUAGACACCAAAAAAUGGUUCAACAAUCGUCCAAGUUCAGAUCCCGCAAAGUACAAGAUUUAGAAGGUGCACUUCUGCUGAAAAUGCUUCCCCUCACAACAAAUUCCUUGAUUAAGUUGCAUCUCAACCAUCCACAAUGGAUGAAACCAAAUGCAAAUUGGACCUGUUUCCUACUGGCGAUUCUAUAUGUCCAGAUGUUUGCUGCAUAGAUGUUUCAGCAACCAAAAGAUUUGCUCCAUCAAGGUAUCUUAGAGAUAUCCAUGGAAAUUUUCAUUCCAGGAUGAAUUUAUUUCUCUGGUACCAAGUAAUUGACCUAACUGCCUGAAGCAACUUCCACGAACAAACAAUCUUAUAAGAAAUGCAAGAUUAGCACAUCAACUGAUCAGUCUAACCAUUACUUACAAAUAUAAGUGGCACAGAAAACGUAAACGCAAAACCAUUACGGAGCACCAAACAAGUGGCUGGGGUUGCGGCAGUAGCAAUUUCACUUGGACAGAGAAAGUAAAUCAAAUUGCAAUUUGUUGUUCUGAAAGAAUUCUGAAAAUCAAGAUGUUUGAUAAAGUUCACUCACCAAUGUGAUCAAACACAAUUCCACUGGGAGCAUGCUUAAAUAGCUGAAUUCCACCACCACUAUUUGCUGCAUCCUCAUCCGGAAAAAGAUCUGUGCUACUCACUACUUCUAUGGUCUUCUCCAUAAUAUCGUGCAAAAUUUUCUGGGCCUGUCAUGUAAUGAAAUUUGAUUAGAGAAAUAAAAAAAUAUGGCAGCAACAAAAAAGAAAAGGUCAAUUUCAAUAUCACGAACAAUAAUGGUCAUAUGCAGCUCAAGCUACUGUGGUAAAGAUAUCAUUGCUCAUUUUUUCUCCAACAUCAAGAACACAUCUCAAAUUUCAAAAAAAGUAUGGAGUAAAUGAUUCUAGCCUGUAGGACAAAAUUAAAGGGGAGAUCUUGCCUACUAGUUAUAGUGGGAGAAUGGGAGGAUACCACAGUUGCGACCAGUACCUGUGAAUGGUAAGUUGGGAGAAAAGAGAAAAAGAAGGGGAUUUAGGGGGAGAAGAACAAACAACUACCAGAGAAAAAAUCAAUUCUUAUUCAUCAAUCUGUCUGCCUAGAAUAACAUAGAAACACAAGUAUUCGCAAGCUAUAAACAGUACAAAAGCUCCUAUUUCCAAUUCCAAAGAGGAAAGCACACUAAUUAUUAAACUUUAAUAUAACAAUGACUCGAAUUAGUUAACAAAAAUAAUAAGGAACUAAAUUUAUUCAGUGACAUAUUUGCCAGAUACUAGCUGCGAACAAGUAGAAGGCCAAAAAAAUCCUUAAGACCCAAAAUUUUAGAAAGUACUAAAUCUCAGAAUAUAUAAUUAUGAUAAACAAAGACACUCAAUUGACACUCAAUUGACACUCAAUUGAUGUAAUCUUGAACUUAAACAAAGACACUCAAUUGAUGUAUUCUUGCUCAGCUUAUCUUCACAUGAUGAUUAAUUUAAGGUUGAGGAAAUCAUAAAAAUCUUAAAUUUCAGAUUUACUUGAGCUCUUGGUUGACUGCAUAAAUAAACUUUUCAAUUGCUACUGAAAGGCAGAAAAGAAAGAAGAAGUGGAUUUAGUCAAAAUCCAUUUCCAUAUACAGUAUCUACUCAGAGAAAAGCCACGACAAGAGAGCAUUAUUCACUCAUUAAAGGUAAUACUCAUAAGUUCAACUUUCUUUGCCAUUCUAUAUAGAUGAACAACCUUUCGGUCCAAAAUUUAUAAUAUAAUUGAGCUAAACCUUAAUCUUGACAAAUAAGUUCCAUGCUUCUACUUUUAAAGUUAUAAAUUUUCCAUCCUAGGGCAUAGCCAAAUGUUUAAGCUACUCCUAAUCCCCUCAUUUGGUCAGCAAACAUGAAAACUAGAAAUGCAUACAAGAUGGAGAAAGAAAAAAUUGGAUUAACGAGGCAAUACCGGUGAAUAGAAGGGGAUUUUUAACAUGGCAUCCUUUCUGAAAAAUGAAAAAUGAUGGAUACAUCCCUUCUGGAAAAUGAUAAAUGAUGGAUAGGACAUAGAUUUGCGAAUGCAAUAUGACUGAAACCGGGCUUGCACAAUCACAUCUACCAAACAAAAAUUUUCAUCAAAACAUCAGGAAUGGAAGUGAUCUUUUAUAUCUAAAAUCCUAAUUCUGAAAUGAAGACGUCUAACAGUCAAUUGUCUCUAGUAUAGACGGUUGACAAUAUUAUGCUUUGAUUACUUAGUGUAACCAUUAGGCAUGUAUUAAGUAAUAAUGUUGGAAAAAUGACGGGAAAGAAGUAUCCGAAUAAAGAACUAAAAGAACCAAACUUUAAGCAUGCAAGUUACGUCAGGAGAUUUUUUUUAGAUGUAAGCAAGCAAAGGUAUCCUCUUUUUGCAUUUAGCCGUUUUAAAAGGACCCAAGCGUUCAAGGACAAUCCCUAAGUUUUGUGCUUUUCACAAAAUGCAUAAGCAGCAGCAAUCAAUGUCUCACAUAUGUUUGAAACAAUAGUUGGGGGGGGGGGGGGGGGGCGAGAAAAAAGGAAGAACCAUAUUUCCCAGAAUGGUAUAGUUUCACGUAGUUUCCAGUGGAAACCUCAAAAUCAAAGCUAAAAACUACGUAAAACCAACGUUUCAAUGCUCAAGUCCUCAACAGGCACAGAUAACUCAAGCUGAAGCUAAGAAACACCAGUAGCAGAAAGUUUCCUUGGCAUAGUGAAACAUAAGUUGGACAUUCAACUUCACUUUUCCCUGAAUUAGAAAUUAAAAAAGCAGUAAUACCCUACCCCAUUAAGCAAUCACACAAUAAACCAACCAAAAGUAUCUGAAUUUUGAUAAAUUUCAAAGGUAAAACAAAGGAAAUACUAUCUGGUAAAGAGAAGAACAACCAGAAAAAGUAUAAAAGUAUAAAAACUUGAAGAGAAUAGUAAGUACUACCUUGAGUUGAUAAUGUUUGAGGUUGUGGGAUUUAGGGUUGUCAACUUCUUGAUGAUGAGGAGUAGAGGAACUGAGUGGAGCAGGAGCAGGAGCAGGAGCAGGGGCAGGAGCAGUGGCGGCAGCAACAGAAACCGAAUGAAUGGCGGCCUUCCACUCGGCAUCUCCAUCUUCCUCUCCGCUACUACUACUGCUGCUCAUCCCUGCUGUUGUGUGGCUAUAGCCGUACUUCUUCUUCUUCUUCUGCCCCAAUAAAAAGUUCCCCUUGCUGGGCCAAAUGCGGAUGGGUCAUGGGAAAAAGUUUAGAGGGGCACUUGUAAUUAUAUUAACUUCGAGGGAAAGGUUUUCUUUUUUCGCUUUUAUUUUUUUAAGGGGACCAAAGCGCGGCGGGAAAGAGCAUCAAAAAUUGAGGCGUUCCUUUAUAGUAGUCCUAUACCCUACACACACACACACACACAAAAUCCAUCGGAGAAAAUGGCGUUGUCGUAUCCACAGCCAGGCUCCCUCACCAUCUGCGAAAUCAAUAGAGACCUCAGUUCUGUUCUGUAACAUCUCCGCCCCCCUUCCCCCCAACGCAAAAAAAAAAAAAAUCCCCUUUUCUUUUUCAAACUCCCUACUGACUCUCUCAUUUUAUUGAUGAUAUCCCCAUUUUGCUUUAAUUGUAUAAAUUGGAGAGUGAUGAUUUAUUGAUUCUAAAAUGUAUUAAUUACUGCAGUUACUGCGGACAACCUGUCCGAUGAUCGGGCCGAAGAAACCUAUGCCAAAAUUCUUGUUAGACCCUCCUCCGCCUCCAUUUUAUUUAUAUACAUAAAAGUUUUCUGCUUGCUUCAUUUCAAAACCAAAUAUGAGUUUUUUCUGAUGAGUAGAAUACUCCGUGUAUAAAUUGCAGGGGACUGUUUUCAGUCCUGUUCCAUUUCAAUACGAGACUCUAUUGACGGUGGAGGAGCAGGAAGUUGCUGCUGCUGCCCAAACUAAAGGUGGAUUGCUGUCGGCUGCACUGCAGGCCGUCUCCACUGCUUCUCUCCGACCCCUUUUCCUCCUUACUCCUGUGAGUUUUUUUAUAAGCUUUGGACUGCUACCAACUUCCGUUCUAAGAUAUCAGGAUUUGGCCCUUUUAUAUCUCCUUAUGUUUUGCUUCCAUUUUGAGGAACUUCCAAAAGGGUUUAUUUCUUCCUUGCUGUCUAUCAUUCCUGUUGACUUGUUCCGGAGAGCUCAACAAAAGCUCCAAAGAGCGGCCAGAUUUUAGAAUUAGCCUUCCGACACUAGGAUCACCCAUGUAAUAAUAUUACACCUGUGCUAUCUUUAUAGUGCAGUAGGAGAGGAUUGGGGUUGCAGCAUGUGUGUUGGGAGAGGGGAUAGGGGAGAAGGGGGCAAGGCAAGCAAAAGAGUGGCAUAUCAGCUACCUCUCCUACAAUCUGAAAAGCAGAUGAUUCGUAUCUUUUCCCAUUCUUUGAUUCAUUUUAGAACUGGCUUAACUAUACCCACUUCUCUGAUCCACUUGCACUUUACAUAAUGACAAUAAUUAGAACGCCUUAUUGGUUAGCUUUCAGUUCUAUUCGCUUCCAUGGUAACACGUCUAAUUCUUAACCACUUUUACUUGUCAUUCUUUGUUGGUGUUAUCAUGAAACUAAGAAGCAUUGGUUCAAGCUUUCAGUUUUAGGCUGCUCUGGAUUGGAAUAUAAAUUAUCUCAAGUUUCCACUUUUCUUUUUUGUUUUAAUAUCAGAAACUAAAAAAUGUUACGUUUUAGAUUUUCAUCAGAGUAGAAGACAAGUUGGAAAGAUUCCUAAUUUUUUCUCACAUUUUCUUUUAGGUAAAAUUGUUGCAAGAUGUUGAUCUCUAUGGCCUGAGCUGGCACCAACACAAAAAUAUUUUGGCUUUUGUUUCUGGCCCAAAUCAUGUGACAAUUCGCGAUUAUGAGGAUUCAGGUUUCUGGCCUAUUAUCUUACUUUAUUUUGUAUUCCAUUUAUCGUCUUUAGAUUUCUAUCCCCUAUCAGAUAGUUUUAGGUUCUGAGUUCAGUUGAAGCCUUGUAAUUUAUUUUUAUUUCUUAAACAUGUAUUUCCCUGUCUCUAUCAGAUGGUAAGGAUCCCUGUGUUCUGAUAAAUGAAUCCCAAAAACAAGUUAAAAGUCUUGAGUGGCGGCCUAAUGGUGGGAGGAUGCUUUCUGUGGCAUGCAAGUAAGCAUGUUGCUUUAUGCCAAUCUCCGCACUUUGAACAGCUCUUUAUUAUCAUGCUAAUGCUACUUAAGUUUCACUGAAAGCUUUAGCUUGGACAAAGUUUUGAUUCUUGGGUGAUCAGGGGUGGGAUCUGCAUUUGGGCUGCUUCAUAUCCUGGUAAUCCAGCUUUGGUUAGAGGUGGAGUUACUUCAAGCACCCUUUCGAGAGGCUCUGGGACUAGAUGGACUCUGGUGGAUUUCCUUCAAAGUCAUGAUGGUGAACAAAUAAGUGCCCUGUCAUGGAGUCCUGAUGGAAGAUAUCCGAAAGAUUUUCUAUUUCCUUUGUUAUGGCUUUUGUCAAUUGAGCAUCAGUUUUUCACUCUAUGAUAACAUAUUGCUGAAUUUUCAGCACCUGCAUGUCCUUUUUUAUUUCUUUACUUCGAUGGCUUCCUUUCGCUUUUUAACAUUUUCAUCAUGUCAUCAACAACUUGUUAAGUUCUUCUAGGUAGUAAAUACCAUUUCUCUGGUAUAUGGAAACAUCUAACUCUUCACAUUGCAUGAAAAUGGAGCUCUUUGUUAAUCACAUCUUUGAUAAGUCCUCAUCUCAGAAUCUUCCCAUGUGUACCAGAAAACUGGUACAGAUAAAGGCAUUUAGCAUCUGCUGAACCUUUUUGACUAUAUCAUAAAGGCUACACUAAGGAAAGUGGUGUUUUCUUUUCUUUGUUGUCUUUAUCAGGCUGUUUACAAUCGAAAUUUUAUCAGUGUAGACCUUCUUAUAGCAGCGUCACCUGUGUAACAGCAGAUGCUUGGUGAAUAAACUCUCAAUUGCUUACCAUCUCAACCUUGUCCUUUCAGUAGGAUGCAACCAAUUUAGAAUAUCUUCUUUGGUGUUUUCUGUUGAGGAUGUGAACCUUGUUUCAUGAAUCUUUUGACAAUUCCUUUGAGAAGAUGAACUGUGAAUUUCAUAUUUCAUCAUGAAUCUUGCUUUACCUCCCCACAAGUAACUGGAGUACUGCUCUCAAUCUUACUCACAAAUUAUAUCGCCUUGAUAACACUCUCUCUCUGGUUAUUUCUAAAAUACUCAGCCGUAUAAAUGCCUUGAGAACAAAUGCCACUAAUCCUACAUAAGAAGGAGAUUAAGGAAGUGACAUUACGAGAGGGGUUUACUAGACUUUUCAAGAAUUUAAUUAAUCUCUCAUUUGGCACCUGAUUCAUUGGAGUUGUUAAGAUGAACUAAAAGGCAACUAUAUUUGUCUAGAAGUAUUUGGCUAGUUGAGUUUUGAAUUUUCUUGACUUUCAUUUACAUAUUUGGCAUCAGCUUCAUUUGAGAAUUCAUCAUUCACCAUUUGGGAUGUUGCUCAAGGUAUAGUAAUUUUGCUUCUCCUUGCUUAAUGUCAUAAUUUUGUUGCUGAAGUCCACAAAUGGUAUUAGCUGGCAUUCUUUUCCAUUUUGGGUUGAAAAACAAAGUCAAUAUUGGAUUUAAUCUGCAUGGUGUUUUUGUCCUAUUACCAAAUUCUUCAAGUUUUACUCCACUAAAUACAUGUCAUGCCUCUUUGAUCCUAGGGUGUUGGUAAAAUUGAAAUUUGAAGUCUGAUAUCUAAAGACCGAAACUUAAGUACUGAAGUCAUAAUCUGCGGAAUUCAUAAAGUUUUAUUUGUUUGAUAACCAGCUGAAUUUCAGCACUGAAUUGAAUGUUGUAUUCCAUGUAUAUUAUAUAUUUGAUAACAAUAUUAUGUUUUAUCUUAAAUUAAAUUAUUGUUUUAAAAAUAAUCUUAUAGUACUAAUAAAUUGUAAUCCAUAUAAAGAGUGUGUGUGUGUUAUAGAUGGAGAGUAUGUUUUUAUGUGUAAAAAUGUGUCUGAGAAAGAAAAAUAUGUAUUUUGUGUUCCAUGCAAGAGAUUUAGUUUGAAAAUGUGUAUUAGAGAAGAAAAUGUUGUUUGUGUGUCUGUGAGUGAGAGAGAGAGAGAGAGGGGGGGGGGACAAAAAUAGAGAGAAUGUAUGUUUACAAGUGUGUGCGUGAUGGGGACAAAAAUAUUAUGUGUGUAUGUCUGGAAUUGUGUGGGUGUGUGAAACAAUAAUUUGGAGUAUUUGUACACGAGUAUAAUUCAGCAAGUUAAGUGAGAAAGCUUUCACUUAGGAUUUUGUAUACAAACUAGGUGGCUCCUACUGUAUUUAGAGGUGAGGGAUCAAACAAGCUUUAUACAAAAAGAACUUAAUUUAUUUAAAUUUAAGUACUUAAUGGGGUUACCAAUCACCCACUUAGCAAUUGCCAUGUUGCGAUCAAGAAAUCUGUUUAGGUUAUAUUAGGCAAAGCUCUUUAAGAUCGACAGGUGUGCACGUGGAAUUGGAGAAACUUUUCUUUUGCAUUUGUGCAUAUUUAUCUACCGGAGACAUGCAGAAAUAAGAUGUAGAAAACUUGUCUAAUCAGAGUAUAAGAAAUGUUCCUAAUUGUUUCAAUUAUAGAACAUUCAAAUAAAGGGAUCUCGGGGGAUAUGGUGGUGCAUAAUUUCUCCUUUUCUUUGUACUGGAUGGCUUUGAAGAAUGAAGUAUGACUAUUUUCCAUUUAAGAAAAUAGUGAAGGAACUUUUUGGUGCUUGUCAGAGUAAUCCUUAUAGGAAAUGGUAUGGUCAAAAUGGUUUACCAAAACAAAGAUCAUAAGCGGUUUAGUUUAAAAUAAGCAUACAAAAGUAUUUGAAGUUACCCUCGACGCUAUCAUGACUAAAAUAGAAGGUACAUUGGAUGGUUUACCCUGUGGUGCUGAGGCAGGGAUGAAGCUCCUGUUUAAUCUCCCCCAAUUUUCCCAGAUGUCUAUCAUCUGGGCUUUUACUACUCAAACAGAUUCUUUUUCUAUUAAACAUUGAUGUGGUGAUUUUUCAAGGUGAUAUGUCAGGUUAAUAUACUUGCUGUUUCAUGGUUGGGUUUGAUACUCAUUGUGAAUGGCUUACCUAUUUGGUUCUUGUGUUUUUUACUCAUGUUCUUGUGUCCCACUGUGUGUCUGUUGGACACUAUGGAGAAAGAUGAAUAAUGGAGCUUUCAAUGGAGACCAUAUCUGCAGAACAGUUUAAGUUUCAAUUACCAGACACCUGUAGUUUUGGAUAAAUGUCCGCUACUCAGCUGACAGUUUUUUUUCCCUUUGAUAGGGCUCAUUAUUGUAUGAUAAGAAACUACUUGUUUUCUUUGGAUUGUGCUCUCCUGGUGCCUCAUAAUGAAGCUAUUGCUUUCUCAAAAAGAAAAAAGAAAUAAAGAAAAAAAUCCUGCUACUCUGUUUUAUGUUAUGUCUCUUAGUUGAUUUUGUAUAAUAUUUUUGUUUAGUGUUAAAAAUAUAUAAUUUGAAAGAUAAAUUGCCCGACAUGUUAGGUAAAGUGUGGAACAUAUGGAGGCAGUACUAGCUACUGUGUUGUACUUGUAACUUAAUACCUGGCAAUUAAUGAAGCUCAAGUACUAUGAUUAAACAAUUAAAGAUGUAAUUCUGCUGUGCAAAAAAGAAUUCAACAUGAAACAGAAAGUAUGGGAUGACUAUGUAUUAUCCCCUGGCAAAAUUUAGACAUUGCAGAAUGGAAUAGUUGUUGUGUCUCCAGAAACUCUGUAAAAUGUAGGAAACCUGAAUUUGUUUGUCAAUGAAUGGCUACCAAGUGCUAUUGGUUGUAGAGUAACCAAAAAUGUUGUUGAUCGCUUUUGGAAGGUAAGAGCAACUGUUGCCUUAGUUGGGAUGGUUUUACAAGUAAUGCACGCAUUACCCCAAAUAAGCAUGCUGUCAAGGUUCCAGUGUAGAGUUGGAUGGACGUCCUAAUAAAGGCAGUCCACAACACAAUCUGGACAGCUGUGUUCAAAUUGGGGAAGUGUUAUUGCUUUCCAGCUGAAUGUUUGAAUGCCUGCCUUUCACAUGGUUGCGUGUUGUAUUUGCUGAUGGAGUUUUGUCUGUUUAUCUGGCUUGUAGGGAUGGGCAGACCUAUUCGACGUGGCUUGGGGGGCAUAUCACUGAUUAAGUGGUCUCCUUCUGGAGAUUACUUUAUCGCUGCAAAAUUGUACUGUCACUUACCACUCUUACAAAAUAUUUUCUCAUGUCAUAAUCUUUAUAUACACAUCCUAGCCCUUGAAACAAAAAGCAGAUGAAAUAAAAAGUUGAAAUCUUGCUGGAGAUAUGUUCUCACCCUGAUAGAGCAAUUGCCCCUUCUUGCAGUGAUGGAACAUUUCAUAUCUGGGAGACUAACACUUGGACAUCAGAACCAUGGUCCUCAACGAAUGGUUUUGUAACGGUUAGACAAUCAUGCUUCUAAGUACUCAUGUCAACUUUGCCUUCUGCUACAUCCUACUUCAGUGAACUCCUUUUUUUUUUUCUUUUUUUUUUUGGGGUUGGGGGGUGGAUUAAGAAUAUUUACUACCAUGGUUUACUAUUUUGACAUCUUCACUGUUUGCCAAGCUCUCUUUCUUCCACUCCUUUUUGCCCAUCUAAUUCUUUUGUUACUAUUAGAUUAUUUCCUUGUUGCAUUACCAUCAGAAGAAAUAAAAGCAGUUCCACUUUCUCACUUUCUUAUCAUAUGUUACUUUGACUGUAUCUUAAUCAAAAUGUCAUUAUGAUCUCCAAGAUUUGCACUCAUGUAUUUUCUUAAAGCUUAUUAUACUUUUUGCCUUUUGAAUUUCAAUUUUUAAGUCUUGCCGUCUCUAAUGAUUCUAGUUCUGAACUUACUGGGGUUAAAGAGUGGAUAUAAAUAUGUGGUCUCCAGAGGCGCAGAUAAAAUGUUUCAAUUGAUGUACGCCAUUUCUUGGAAAUUGCUUAUUUUGUGGUGCCAGAUCCAUGAUGGAUUGGGGUUAUUGCUGUUACUUUUUGUCAACUGAUAUAUGUGAUGAUAUAUGGAGUUUGUGUUGAUGAUCUUCUUAUAUUGUAUUCAUCAUCAUUCACUGGAUUCUUUGUUUUCAUUUUGAGGCCAUCAUUUGGACGUGUAAUCUUCAAAUUAUUCUGCUUAGUAGCUAUAUUUUGAUUGACAGGGAGCAACAUGGGAUCCUGAUGGACGAAUGAUACUCAUCGCUUUCUCUGAGUCUACAACAUUAGGGUCUCUUCACUUUGCAUCAAAGCCUCCAUCCCUUGGUGUGUGAUAUUCACCUAGUUCCUGGGUCUACAUAGUUGUAAUUGUUAGUUUGCUUUCUAAUUUCAUAGGUGUUUUGAUGUUGUUUUGUAUACAAUAAAGUAGGGAAAAAGCAUUUGUCUCAAGGUUUCAUUUUCUGCUCUUUAUUUAAUGGUUGGAAGCAUAAUAGUUAUUGCUCAAGAAAAGGAGGACACAGCAGUUGGAAGAUGUCAAUGACUUAAAUUCAUGGUGAUCUCACAAGAUGCAUUAUGAUGCUGAUUUUUUUAAGCUUUAACUGACAAGUCAAGAUGAGUGCAUUACCCCUUUUAGGGGCUGGGUGGUCAUAUUUUGCUUAUUUCCUUAGCUUCUUAACAGGCUUGUAACAUCUCCUUUGGCUUCAUAAGAUACCUCUUUGCUGCAGUGUUACUCACCUCAUAGUCAUCUUGUUCUAUGGUACUUUAUGCAUGAGGGAUUUUUUGUCUCUGUUUUGCUGCUGAAAAGUUGUUUUUUUGUGAACUUCCAUAGGCAGUGUCUGAACUUAUGGGCACCCUAAUAGCUGUUUGCAGACUUUGACUUUCAACAGUAUUGUUUUCCAGAUGCACACCUUGUACCUGUAGAGUUGCCAGAGAUUCAGUCCUUGACCAGAAGGUUCAGAUGAUAAUGCCUUGCUUCAUGAAACCUUAUAAUUGUUGAAUAAUGCUUAUAUAUUUCUGAUCUUGUUAAUGGAUGUUGAUUUCCUUUUAUUUGAGAUGAUUUAUGCUUGUAAUUCCUUUCAUCACUGGGAUAUGGAUUGGCUCUCUUUGACCAGUCUUUGUAUAUUUCUCUUUGCUAAUCUAUUCCAAGUUAUAUCUGGUUAAUACUUGGAUGGUUCUCUGUAACUAUGGGUAAUUUUGACUAGAGAGUAUGGUUUGAGGAGUCUGGAGUAUUUUUUAAGGAAUUCCAUCGAAAAGUAGAUUGUGAAAUUGUGAACUGGUGAAAUGGUUAAUGGAUUUGAUUUCAAUGUAAUAUACCCAUCAUGAUCUUACUUGGGAAGGAAGGAACACACUCCAAUAAAGUUUACUGUUACAAGAAUAAGGCAUAGGGACACUUUUAUUUGAGUAGCUGACUGAUCCAAAAAAGGAAGUCUCUGUAUUAAUAUCUUUAAUAUGCUGAAAGAUUCUUAAGAUGCAUGUUGAGGUGGAAUUCAGUUUUAUUUCCUAGGUUACAGUAGUGGUGCUAUUUCCCCUGCCCGGUAACUGGGACUACCUAUAUUUGUCUACAUGUUGAAGGAGGGAUAGUUGAUCAAACUCAUUGCAGUUUGGCAUGUUGAGGUGACUGGUUAAUCAGUUAAUGAAAGACAUUCCUUGAAUCCUGUGAACCUGGUGGAACUUUCUUCUGUGUUUCUCCGUUUUGCUUAGAUAUUCUGGAUCAUAUGUCAGCCUUAUGCCACCAGGAUGAGUCAAGGUCAGUGGUUUGAUGCUAUUGCAGUAACUUCAUUUGGUCAUAGGCUGCCCUGUAGUGCCGUGGAGGAUGCUUCCCUCAAGGUCAGCUGAUAUGGCUUGUGAUUUGAUCCUUUAGAUGAUAGUGCUGGGUGAGCUCCUCAAAUCAUGUGAGACCACCCUAUAUGUGGCACUGUGAAAUUUAGCAGGAGGCUUGUCCAAUUUUGAAGGCUAUAUCUUGGGAGUAUUAGUUGGAACUGAAUGCAAUUUAGCUCAUCUGGCAUCUUUAGGCAUGUCGGCCUCCACGCCCAAGUGGCCUGAGAUGCAAGUAUGACAUAGGCAGGCAUUAUUUAGGUUAUGUAGGUUCAACUCAAGGUCUGCUACUUGCUAAUCAUAUGAACAGAGAUCAUGGAUCCACUCUUAAUCUCUUUAGAGCCCUGCUGCUGCCAUCAAGACCUCUUAACUGCUUUGUCUUCUCCCUCAAUUGCCUCUCACCAUCCUCUCUCUCUCUCUCUCUCCUAUAGCACAUUGAUUAUUGAACUCCUAAGAAAUGUAAUGAUACUUGUUUUUCUUUUUGUGUAAAAUUUCAUGCAUGGGGGCAUUUGUUUUUAGAAUCAGUCCUUAAUUUCCUUACCUUCUGUGCAGUAAAGGAAUUGAGAAGAUAGCAUGGGAUGGUUCAGGAGAACGAUUGGCUUUGUCAUACAAAGAUGGGGAUGAUCUGUACAAAGGUCUUGUGGCAAUAUAUGAUGUUAGGAGAACCCCCCUGAUUUCAGCAUCACUAAUGUAGGUCGAAUAUUGUGUUCUCUUAUCUUAGCUUCUUAGACCUUUUCAGUGUUUUCUUAUGCUAUUUUGUUUGUGGAUACCAAUCAUUUCUGAUUCUUGUUCAUGUGUUUGGUUCCAUAAAUCCAGUGGAUUUAUUAGAGGCCCUGGCGUUAAUCCCAAGCCAAUUGCACUGUCAUUUCAUGACAAGUUCAAACAAGGGCCCUUGCUAUCUGUGGUAAGUCCUAUGGCACUGUUCAUUUGCUACUGAACUGUGCCCGUCCUCUGGCCUUUUUUAUUAGCAUUUUGAGAUGAUUGCAAAGUUCAUGGAUUCAGGCAGCAAAAUGUACAAGAACUCUGAAUGCGCAUCAUAUAACAUGGACAUCCCUUGUGGAUUGAAUUCUCUUAAAGCACAACUCUUUACGCUUUAAAGACUAACUUAAGUUCUUGUCUCAGACAUGGAGCAGUGGAAUGUGCUGCACCUACCCACUCAUAUUCCGCACGCACGUUUUACCUUAAACCAAGGUAUUUUUUUUUUGUUUUUUUUUUGUUUUUACCUGGAAAAAUCUGCUGUAUCUGUACCAUAUGAUUCCAUUUUCUUGAAAUAGUAGUACCUUAAAUCUGUACUUGUCAACAAUAGGUCUGGGCGACUCUGGUCGCCACGGUCGAAGUACCUAUCAUUGUGUCAUUAGACAGCUGCAGUUGUCAUAAAGUUGCUGGUGAAGCAUUGAGUUCAUCUUCGUAGUCUCUCUUGGAGGUCGAAAAAUGAAGUAGGCCGUUUAUGAUGUUGCUUUCAGCCAAGGAAAACACUACUGUCAUCAAUUUUUAUCACUAGUAGGAACAAAGUGAAUAGAGAUGUUGAAAGUGAUGGAAGCUAAAGUGGGCGGGGAGGUUAUGUGCUGUCAACCUCAUCUCUCUUUUGAAACCUUAUUUGUGCAUCUUCAAGUUAAUUAUGCUUCAAGUGAUUGUCAAUGUUCUCGAGUCUGUAGAUUUUUCUGUUCAUUUUUUAGUCAUUUUAUUGUCAUUAGCUAUGAACAUGAAACUGUAGUAUUUAUACAUUUCGAAAAUGCACCUGGAAAAGUGGAAGAGCGCACCUGUCAUUCUGGCAGUGGUUUUUGGAAGAGCUGAUAGCUAUUGCAAUUUUAUUAAGUUCAUUUUUCGCUACAAAACCAAUGCAGUUUUUGGUGGAAACUGGAAGGGUAUCAUUUCUUCUGGGAAGAGAGAUGGGGCUGGCCAGUGGCCAGGUAUCAAGGAGAGAAUUUUGGACAAAGUUUGGUCAGUUAAGAAUGUAAAGAAGAAUGGGAAAUCAAUCGACUUCCCUAUAAUUGAAAUCCAAAUUAAAGCAUGAACAUCUAUUCUACUUCUUGGCUGGCUGAAUCUGUAAAGGCUUUGCAACAAGGUAUCGAAAUUAAGGCUUCUUCUGCUUAUCAUCAGAGCGAUACUGUCAGAGCUGAGAUAGAUUAGGCUCAAUUCUGGCAUGAAUCUGGAGCUGGAAUAUGAAGUUCAGAUGUUCAUUUUCGGAAAGUCCAUCUAUAUAUACACCUGGUUAAAAGCAGGGAUGAAUUAUUAAACCUCGUGGGGUACAUGUUUUGCAGUAAUACAAUACAACGGACUAGUUACUCGAAGGAAAGAAUCCUAUAGGCAAACUCUCUGCAUGGGGUUGUUUUAGUUUGUUUUCAAGGCAAAUGUCUUUUAUGAUAAAAUCAAGAAGAAUGCUUUAGACUGAAAUCAUCUUAUUAAUGCCUGAGCUGAGAGGAUUAUCUGUCCCUCCUGCUAUUGAUUGGCUACCAUGCAAAAGAAUGCAAUGAGAUUAGGAUUUAGGCCAAGGAAAGGGGGAGAGGACCGUUCCUGCCAGUUAAUGGCCAAGAUUUGACCAACAAAAUUUGUAAGGUCCAGAUUUUAACAUGUGUGGGGCCAACAAAAUAUUGUACUAGUAUUACUCGCUGUUGUUCUAGUGUUACAUCGUGUACAAAUGAUGUUACACCGUGUGCAAAAUGCACACAAGCUUUCGGAACGAUUGCACUGACAACCGUUCCAGCCCCGGGUCCAAGGCAAGGAGCAGUUGUUAGUUCAAAUACUCACCAUUGUAAUUAUUUUUUCUCUUUCAGACACGUUAAUGAUACAUUUACCGUUUUGGUUAGCUAUUUAGGAAAAAGGGACACUUCUUUUCCCUUUUAUUUUUAACCCAUCCCUCUUCCUAAAAUUGUAAUCGAGUCGAGCUCGAGUAUCGUGGUAUUCAAGCUUGACUCAACACUAGGAAGACAUUACUCGAACUCGAACUCGACCUCGAGCGAGUAGCAGAAAAAGAGCUUGAGCUCGAAUAAUUGUUCGAAUACUUGAAAUCGACUCGAUUAUGCUCGAUUUUUCUUAUUUACUUUUACACAAUUUACAAAGAUGAUUAAAUUUCAAUAGCAAUGUUUAAAGUAACAUUUGCAAAGUUUGAAAAAAUAUAUAUACUAAAUUACAAUUCAUGCGGGGUUCCUAGUGACACGGGCUGCACCUAAGUUGCGUGCGGUCGUGCCUUUCCGCACGGGCAUCCACGCGUGCCCGUGCCUAGUCGCACGCGAUCGUGCCUAGUCGCGCGCACGACAGUGCCUGUGCAUGAACCCGCGCGUGCGACUGUGCCCAUCCGCACGACCGCCCGUGCACGACCGUGCUUAGUCGCGCGCAACUGUGCCUAGUUGGCUAGGGUUAUUCCACAAGAUGCUAGAAUUGUGGAGAAGAUUCUAGAACCAUGUGUAAUACUCAUGAACCUUAUGGAUAAGCAUGCACCUUGAGAAUAAGGAUGAACCUUGAGAAUAAACAUGACCUUGUGGAUAAGGGUUGACCUUGUGGAUAAGUUUUGACCAUGUAGAUAAACAUUGACCUUGUAGAUAAGUUUUAGACUUGUAUAGAGAAUUUUAGGACCAUGAAGUAUUUUGGCUUGCCUAUAAAUAGGCCAAGCCCUUUGUAUUGGAAAUGGUUGGCAACCUUGUGUAAAAAAGAUUUGUGUGUCAUAUAAACUUUCCUUUGCCACAAACACAUAUCUUUGUCUAUCACUUUUGCGCUUCCGCAUAAUAACCGCGCAUUGAGUGUUAAGGCUGAACUAGCCAAGCGUUCCUAGCUUGAGACUUAAACGUACGCUAGUGCUGCACGGGAUGUUGGCUUGUAGGAAAAACAAGCAGCCUGUGACACUAGGAACCGAAGGGACUCAUGUGCAAAUCUCACUAAUUGGCCGUAAGCCCUUGUUUUUUGGGUUUUUGGGAAUUUUAGGACCCAGACCAGACACAAAGACUGAAUUGGGGCUCUUAUCUUAUCCAUAACCAUACGAGAGAAUGAUUGAAAGAAUUGGAGGAGGGAGCAGCAGAGAUAGUAGCAGCAAGUAGAAUUGGGCAUUUGAGCAAUGGCUCUCCUCCUCCAAAUUCCCGCUUCCAGUACGAGGACUACCGUUUCAACUCUGCUUUCCUCUCUUUCCUCAUCUUCAUCGCCUUCACUAACUUUUGCCCUCACUUCUUUUCCGCGUAAGAGUAUAAUAAUUAAUACCCCUCUUCUUUUUAUCGCCAUUUCUCCGUCUGUGCAUUUUUACACUUUUUUUUUUGGUUUCUUUUUCCUGCAAAAUAUGUUCUUGAUUGUUUAGAACUUCUGGGUUCUUUAUUCCCUUCGUUGCUAGUGAUUGUUCUGUUGCAAAGUCAUUUGCUCUUUCCCUCCAGCUCAGCAUCUUCAAUUGGCUCUUUUUUUUUUCCUUUAAAAAUUUUAUCUUUGUCCUGCAUUAAUGCUGCUCAGUUGCCGAAACAUUUGAGCCUUCUUCAUUUUUUUUAUUGGAGAUUCUGAUCUUUUAGUCGUACCAAGUAUCUAAUUUCGUGUUCGUAUGUUUCCAAGCACCCUUUUUCCCUGAAUGUUUUGUCUUUCUGGUAUUCCAUCGACUAUGUUGUCUGCGUUUUCUUCCAGUUGAUUUAUUUGUUGGAUGUUGGAUUUUUUUUUCCCUUGAUCUGUUUCUCCAUUUUGCGUGGAUUUUAAAGUGGAGGUAGCUUUGCUUGAAAUUUUUUCUGCCAAGGACAUGUUAUGGUUUUUCAGUUCAUAUAAUGUGGAUCAGAUGCAUUUUCAGAUGUUGUUAUGCCCAGACGCUUGAGAAAUGUAGUUAAUUAUUCACAGCUUGUGUCAUGUAGCCCUCGUAUGAAUCUAAGAUCAGUUCAAAAGGAUAAUUCAUUCCCAUUUUCAUUUAACAUUUCAUAGCUGUACUGGGUAAGAUAAUCUGAUUUUUCAUUUUCCUUAAUCACUUGCCUUUUUGGUCUUUUUGCUAGUUUCCAGGCUGUGCAACAACCCUUUGGCUGCAUAUCCCAAACCGUAUGUUGCAUGCAGCAUUCAGCCGCCUUUCCUUCAGAAGGAGAGGAGGGCACCGCUGGCUAAGGCAUCUGCUGAAGGCGCGAACUCGGAUGGGCCUGAGCUUCCGUCAGAGAGCGAGGAGGAAGAUGUGCCCAUUCAGAAUCUUCCUCUGGAGUCCAAGCUUCAGCUGAAGCUUGAGCAGAAGAUGAGGAUGAAGUUGGCAAAGAAAAUCAGGCUACGAAGAAAGAAGCUGGUUAGGAAGCGUCGCUUGAGGAAGAAGGGGCGAUGGCCACCAUCAAAGUUGAAGAAGAACAAGAAUGUUUAGUGUUUGUCGGAAGACAUCUUCCAGGUUGAGUGCUGGCACAUUUUCUUGCUUAUGCUUGUUGGCAUUCAUCUUCCAUCACUUCCAUCAGUUAAUUUUUGUGUAAUGUAGUUAGAAACUCAGCUGCUAAGUACAAAUGCAUAACUUCCAAAUGGUUUAUCAAAUCAAGAGAUCUAUUGUAUUGACCGGGUUGCUUUUGCUCUUUGUGCUGGACUAUUCUAGGCAUUACCAGAUGAUCGGCAGAUUUUUUUUUUUUUUUUCACUUUUGUCACAUCAAGAUUCAUCAAAAUUAGUGAAAUCACCAUUAUACUCAGUUUGGCCCUUUUUCGAUCAGUUAUAAUUGCAUUUUCUGGUUACCUUUUGUUCUUGGGGCAGUUGACUUGUUUGUGAAUUCUUAUACGGUUUGUGCUGGAGGCUAUAUGAUCAUCAAAGCUGAGAAAAUUCCUUCUACUUCUUAUAAACCAGGUACUUAUAUCCGAAUAAAAUGUGAAUGCUCUAUAGCAUGCUGGGAACAGCUGAAACAGUGUUGUUUAUUCUCUUAUAAAAAAUAACAAAAAUACAACUUAAACUGAUUUUACUAAUUAAGAUUGAAGGUUGGGAAUUCUCCUGUGGUGGUUAAAGAAACCAUCAAUUUUGUUCCAAAUGUUUGAAUGAAAGCAUACAAUUACAGGAUUGCUGGAUUUUGAGGAUGAUACAAACUUUUUGGAUAUUAUGUUGGAGAAAGUUUAUGGUGGGGGAAUAGGGUAUGAUUUUUUUUAAUGGGUUUUGGCAUCAAAUUUUGGAAGAAAAAGAAGUGUUGAUGUGCUUAAAUAGGAGUUCUACAAAUUUUGUCGAACAAAAAGCACCACUCUAGAAAUCUACAUUCAUUGUUCAUGAAAUUUUUAUGAUUAUGUUGAGUUCUAUUUUUCUGAGGACAAAAUGAUUUACAUGAUGCGCUUUUGUUAACAAUAAGGGGAGCUGAUAAAUAUAUUAAUGUUUGGUUUCUUGUGGCUAUGUUUAGCUUUGAGGGUUGAAAUCCUAAAUAAAUAUCUGUCAAUAUCUGCUUCCUAUAUUUGAUUAGUCUUCUUUUGUCAAGAAAAUUGUAUAGCCUUCACUCUUGGACCUGCCUAAACAAUGCAAAGCCAGCUUUAUUGGUGUUGUUAUGAUUGAGGCAAGCAAUCCUGGUUCAUUGCUAUGUUGGUGUUGUUUUCAGCGCAUCCAGGAGGCCAUUUUGUUUUGCUCCCUGCUGUGGCGUUGUUUGAUCUGCUAAGAAAAGACUUUUUAGUUUCAGCUGCAGACACCAAAAUGGACGUCAAGAGCGAUUUGCAGCUCAAAAGUUCCAUCAUGCUGGUGCUGUGCUGCUCACCAAUUCCACAAUGAUGGGAAUUGACAUCCGUCUAAUCUAACAGAUGGAGGAGAGUUGCUCAACCGUACACAAAAGGACACCUUGGAGGGGGCUUGAUUUCAAAGAAACGAGACCGUUUCUUUACCCCUUCCUUGCCUGUGUCAUUUCUUUACUGUUCUCAUAAUCGGCAGAAAGAUGCAUUAUUCAAAUCACUUCCCUUGCAAUGGAAUGCCUUUUUUUAAGCACAAACAGAAAGAAAAUUCGAUACUUCUUCAACAAUGAAAGAGUGUAAACGAAAUACAGUGCAGUAUAGGAUGAAGAAACACGUCCAGUCCAGUGCUGAGUGAUAAAUAACAACGAUUGGUCUAAAGAAGCCAAGAAGGAUAUAAAACCUCACACAAUGACACAAUCAACCAGUUAAUCAUACUACUAAUAGCCUGCGUUAAAAUUUUUCGACUUUGCAUACCCCUAAAAGUGACAAUAAGGAGUGUUGAGAUAUGUCAACUUUUCCUACAGAUUUUGCUAGAUUAUGUUUGAUAUCAAAAUAAUUUAGUUAUUAGAAAAAUAAGGAUAUUUGUUAACCAAAAAUCAUAUUGGUUUGUUAACAAAUAUAUUAGCUAAGAUUUGCUAAUAGAAAAAGAUGAUAUUUUGUUGAGAUUUUUAAGAUAAUUGUUAGUUGAAUAUUUUGCUAGUUUAUUUCAUGUAAUCACUAUAAAUAAUGAGUUGAUGAAUGUAGAACACAAACUCAUUUUUCAUCUUUAAUGCAAGUCUCUUAUAAGCUUUUUUUGCAGCACUAAAGUGUUGUUUUUUAGUUUAUGCCCCCAAAAAAUCAACACUUAGGAAGCGGUGGACAUCCCAUGGAGCACACAAACACGCCUACAAGGGAAGGGACUAUAAUGCAUAAGAGUUUUGUACGAAAACUCGCAGUUUCACAAGACAAUACACUGAGGAUAAAGAGUCUUUCUCCAUUCUUGACAAACUUACAUGAUGCACCGCUAUUGACUGCACCAUGCCAGUACAACUUUAUGCGGCAGCCAACAAAUGUCUCUCACUCGAGCAUUCCAUUCUCUCGUUCUUCGUCUUGCACCUUUACUUUUCGCUUUCCUCCUUCACCGGUUUCUUUCAACGUCAGACCCGUACUAAUGCUUCUUCACAUUUUUUCAGCGUUAAGACAAUGGCGCCUCUGUCCCAUCAUUCCCACUCUUCCGUUCAUUCCACUCUUCUCCUAGUCAACUUACAUCCAGAACGGAAGUUUUAACCGCUUUGAUUUGUUUCUUUAUCUUUCCAUGUGUUUUACCACUUUUGGCCAACUCUCAUCAGGUCAAUGUCGAGUAUGUCAAGUUUGCCUGAUAUGUUCCAAGGCUUAAUGUACCCUGAACCACCAGACAAAGCCUUGACGGGUUGUUAUUAACUAAACCAACUUACCAGUCUGCUUUAUAUUCUACAGAGAAUUGCUGUCAGGGGAGGGAAGCAGGACCUAACAACCUUUCACUUCCCACGGCCUAAAUUGUCCAUGUAGAAUGCCAAAAAAAAAACAAAAGAACCUGCACGACGAGAACAAGAAGUUGGACAGACUUCUUUUUCCUUCUGUACAUUUGCCAGCAGCCAAUUUGCAUUACGACAAUACUUAGAUCUAGCAUCCCGAUUUCCUUGGUGCUGCUUGUCUCAGAAUGAUUGGUUCCUACACAUUGUACACCUUUUUCCCUUUCCAAGUUUCCUUUUUGUCAGACCAACAUUUCACCUUGAAGAAUGUUGAAUUUGCAGAGAGGGCAGGUUGCAUUAAUUCGCAGCCAUCUGCGGAUGCAUCGGUAAUGAAAAUGGUGGUUGCAGGGGAGAGUGCACACCUCCACUCCAUCCUCAUAGCCAUGAAGGCAUAUGCAGCAUUCCUGCAAUGGGUAAGUAUUCAAACCAAAGCUCAGAGUUACGGUCAUGAUUAAAACAUAAGGAAUUAGUAGUAAGAAACAUCAACAAUUAUGUUGUUCAGAAAAACAGCGGGUAUGAGAAGGCUGAAGACUGGAAUAUAUCGGAGUACUCAAACCCAGGUGACUUUCAACCUAAAAUUGGGGGAAAAAAGCCAUAAGAAAUUGAUUAAAGAGUUAAAUACACAAUUAUCCAAAGUUAAUUGCUAAGUUAUCAAUUUACGGCUGGCACAUGUUAGCAAAUAUUAACUAAAUUGACAAAUAAAAUGGUUACAUAACACAGACGAAUCUCAACCAAAUUCAUCUGCCAAUUCAACUGUCAAAAAGAGGCACACUAUUCCAACAUACAAGGAAUUAGAAUACCAUGCCAAAAGCCAUCUUCAAUCUGCAAAUCAUGAUCAAAUAUUUCCAAAGUCUUACCAUAAAGUCUAUAAUACAUAUGUUAGUAGAUGAUUUUCCAGUAUAGUGAAAUGGCACUUAAGAAGGGUGUUAAGCAUGAUUCCUGAACUACUAAAAGCUGAAUACUGAAGAGUUGACUGACAAUCACACCCCAAGAAAGAAUGCCCACAAAUCCAAAGCUUAGACCACUCAGUCAGUCAAAUGUUAAAUGAUGCACACAUCUAUAACCAACUUGCAGAAGUCAAAAGCAUAAGGAGGACUAUAUUACUUAAUAGCAUAUAGUAUAUCAAACAAAGAGGUCAGUACCCAAAUGCAAAAUAACAUAACAAGCAAUUUAGCCUGUCCAACUUUUGCUUUUGCCAGUUGCUAUAUUCUCGGAAAGUAAUUUUGUUAACUAGACACCAAAAAGAUGCAACUGUAAAAGCUUUAUCUCUGCAUAUGUAAAGACUAAUCCAAGAAAUUUAAAAGGCGACUUUCAUGGUCCAAGUAUACAAAACUAAGUUCUUCAAGUGCUGCACCGUCUUCUCCAAAACCCCAAACUUAGGAAACUCUGCAAUUUUCUGCUGUAUAAACUAGAAUCCAUAAAUAAUUUUUGCCAAAAAAUGUGCAGCCAGGUCAUCAACCAACUUGAGUGUUUGGAAUAUAAGCUUCGGUGGGGAAUCCUAUGAAAUUCCUACCAAUAGAGCAGAGGAGACAUAUCAAACUUGAUUUUGUACCAGUUCUGUUAAUUGCAACCAUACAGCUUAUGCCAUGAGGAAGCAGAUAUGUUAAGAUUGCGAAAGCUUCAAACUGUUAGUGGCUCAUUGUAUUCAUGCUCGGUUUUAAGCAGCAGACCAACUCUUGAGGUGGAUAGAAAAAGGAGUGAGCUUAGCUUAAGGAGUUUCCUAUCUGAACCUUUGAAAAGUGCUCUUCCAGUGGAUAUCUCCCUUCAAAAACAACAAACUUGGAGCUGUACACGCUAGACAAUGGAUUACAUAGCAUUCUAGAUGCAAUAUCAGGAAUAAUCACUUCUUUGACUCAACUGAUGAGUUAUGAGGAAUCUGACUUUAAUAAUUUGCUUCUGAAAUAUAGACAGGGAAAAGGAUAGGUUUAAGCAAGGGAGAAAGCCAUUCUUCAGUGUACUGUUGUAUUAGAGGUCAAACAUUUCACAGUGAAAAAAAAACAAAGAAAAUUUGAAAAGCAAAAUAUACAAAAAAUCUACUCUCACUCUCUCAGUCUCCUUGAUUUCUGACGGCGUAUAACAAAAAGAACAAAAACAAUAUUAAUUGUCUUCCGAUAUACCCUUUAUAUGUGGAAAACAAGAAAUUUGAAUGUUCUUAAGAGCCUCUUUUAACUUGCUCAUUGUUUUCCAAGUUCGCAAAGGAGUGAAAGGAGCGAAAGAGAAGUUAACAGAUAAAUGGGAAAGAAACAAGUCCAUUUCAGUAAAUAGAUAGAGGAUGUUGUAGAUGCUUACAGAAUCCUCCAAACUGAGGGCAAGCUCAGGGAUGUUGCCGCUGCCCAGGUGAGCUAGUAAAGCAGCUUCUUCUCGCUUUCUACAAGAAUUGAUAGUCCCUGCAGCAUUAGGAAGGCAAUAUCUAUACUUGGGAAGAGUCCUUAUAUCAUUUUCAGAAGCUCCUUCCCCAACUGUCAUAGCAUGUGCAACCCUUGCCAAUAUUGGGAAGCAACAUGCCAGCAAUACAAAAAAAAUGAACGCCAUUGCAAUGCAAAAUAUCAUGAAGAAUACAUCGAAAGCCAGAAAAACCACUGAUAACCUGCAGCAGUUAUAUAUGCUUCAGUUAGGGCCCCCUUUUACAAGUGCAGACUAACUGUCAUGUUUGUUUGCACAGAAAAAUAUUAUUCACAGAAAACCUAAAUAGAUUGUACUAAAAUUUUUGCAGAAUUUUCACUCCCUAGACAUAAAUGACAUCCUCGUUCCGUUUGUUUCCAAAAAUUUGGAAAUUUGAUUAUAUUUGAUCUCAUUUCUCUUUCUGGUUAUGCAUCAAAACUGAUUAUAAAUGGAGAAUGCAAGAACUUUUCAAAUUUCUCAGGCAUACAUUUACUGAAGAAAAACGAAAAACAAGACAAUAAAGAUGUUAAAAGAAUUUGAAGGAGCAAUUUAUGUAGGGAGGAUAGUCACUGGGGCCUCCAAUCCAGAAGGGUUACCAGAGCAACUACAAAGAUACUCUUAAUGAAGGCUACAUUUCUUGGUUCUUUCUUUGCCUGUUGGCUAAGAAAUUUAAUAUUUCAUAUAUCGGGCUACAUUUGAAGCCUCAAGAUGAAUUUGACUCCAUAAAUCAGAGGACAUAUAGCACCCACGGAACCAUCUUUGUCCAACAACUACCCUUCAACAUGUUGCAAGAAAUUGUCAAUUGAUCAUGGAGCUUCUUGCAAAGGAUAACAAAUUUUAGAGCCUUUUCAGGGGAGGGGUGGUUUGAGGGAUCAUAAUUGGAAUACAAUGCAUAUGAUGGAGCUCCAAGUUCUCUAAUAAGCUAAACUUCCAUAUCCUACCACUUCACCAAAAGCAGCUUUCAUAUUCUUUUUCAAAAAUAAUCCAAUUGGAUCUAAAUAAGUAAUAAGAUUUUCUGAAACCUUCAAAUAAGAUUCAUACCAGUAGAGACGGGGCGAAUCUUGCAAAAGUGCCUUUCCACCCAUAUAUAUCCAAUAGAAUCCAAACACCCACCAGACGGAUGAAAUAACUGUGUUGAUAGACUCCAGCCUCUUGACAAAACUACAAAAGAGAAUAAGAUUGUAGCGUAAGAAGUAAUAUCUUUUGUUUAUAUGCUGAGGACUUCAUCAUUGUAAAAAUAAAUUCACUUUAAGCUGCCCAUUUCCCUAAUGGAAAGACAAGCAAAAGGAAGAAAGGAAAGUUGAUUAAGUUUUGUUUCAUUAACCUUCGAACCAUUAAGCCGAAUUAUGCAUGCUGCAGACCAAAAGUGGUAAAUCCUACUAUGGCCUAUUAAAGUUGAACAUUUAGACUAAUAUACCAUUGAAUCAAGUUUACAGGGAGCUGAAAUAUCUCCUGUACUAGUUUGGAGCUUAUACAAACAAGAAGGAAAGGCCAUGUUCCAGUCAAACUUUGAACAAGGACAAAAGUACAGGCAAAGGAGCAGCCAUGGAGCUUGCAUAUCCCGCUGUGGAAAAUUUACUAUGAUUUCCAAAUAGAUGUUAUUCUAAAACAUUUAAGGUACCAAAUCAACAGCCAAAAAAGAUUCUUUUAUUUUGUGUAUACAUUUCAGCUCUUCUUCUUUGACUAGUAUCUGACUACCUUUAUACCUUCCUUUAUCUUUCUUGUUGCCCUAUUGAAUUGGGGGUCAGAUACCUAAAUCAGAAACUUACCCCAAAUGGGUUGGAAUGAAUCAAUUAGGGGGUAAGGAAUCACAGAAACAAGAAUUUAGUAAGAGCAAGAGUUCCUAAAACACGAGAAAGAGAAGAAGCAUCAUACCCUCGGCGACAAAGGAGAGAAAAUGGAUGAAAGGCAUGGAAAUGAUGAAUGUAAAAAUGGCUGCUUUGAGAGUGAAGCCAAACAAAGCCCACAUGCAAGAGGCACUGCAGAGCAUAGCCACCAAUCCAAAGCCUUAAAGGGGUGGUGGGUCUCUCGGUGACGGUAGUCAAAAGCACAAAGGCAGCCACCAACACAAACCCCAAGUUCCAUAUCAAAUCAAGAAUCACGAAGGGCCUCGAGAAUGGACAUUCUUGGCCUACUGGGAGUGAUGGGCCACGGCCACGGUCAUCCUCGUUCUCCUCCCUCUCCUCCUCCUCCUCAUCAUCAUCAUCAUCGUAAUCAUUGAAGAAAAUCCUGUGGUGGUUCAAGGUGGCGGAGGUCAGUCUGGAGAAUAUGGUGGCUAUAUUGGUGGGGGCCCUUGUGUUAUUGUUGGAGCUGCUGGUGCUGCUGCUGUGGCCAUUCUGAAGAAGAAGCAAGCCUUGCUGCUGGUUCUCCAGGUCCAUUUAUAGGGAUGAUAAAAUUCCGGUAGCUGCAAUCUACUAUUUUGCCCGAUGAGAGAGAGCUGGUGCGGUCGGUGGCGGUGGUGGAGUUUUGUUUUGUUUUGUUUUGAGAGAUACGGUUACAGUAGCAGUCGAGCAAAGAUAUGGUAUGUUGGUCGACUCUGCUGCACUGUGGGAAGUGGGGGCCUACUGAGGACUGAGGAUUGAGGAGAGACAAUCAAUCAUCCAUCCGUGCAAUUGCUCUUGGGAGUAUUAUUUAUACACACACUCAAAUCCCUUUGUAAUACACUAAUACUACUAUCUAUCUACGUCUGCUAUUCCUUCAAUACUUUUUUUUUUCGUCAAUUGAUACCAUCUACGUCUACUUUUACUCUAAUAUAUAUUAGCGAGUGAUUCUGAGAAAUUGACGGAAAUUAAACUACCAUCAAAUUAUACAGUCCAGUGAUAUUAGACAUCUUCUAAAAUUAGUAAGUUUUGGCCAAAAAAGAAUAACUUUUGUCGUCAUAAUUAGUGUGUUUUUCAAUUUUAUCAAAUACACUGCUACUAUCACCAUCUAUGGAAAAUACAUUUUAUCCAUUCAUUCAAUCUUAAAAAGGGUUAUAAGUACAAAGUAUUUUAAAUUUCUUUCCUGGAAUAGAAAUAAUUAAUCUAAAUUAGAUAAGAUGUAUAGAUGGUCGAAUCUUUAUACAGGGAGAAAAAGUAAUUACAGUGCAUGCACCUAUAAAUAUUUGCAGUAGUAAUUUGUAUGCAUGUACCAGUUGCUGCAAACGAUUAUGCCACUCUAUUAGUAUUAGAGAGGAUGCAUCCAUAACAUAUUCAUGUGCUUUCGCUUCAAUCCAAUGACUACAAUUAUUACAUAACAAAUGUACAUAACUCCAUGUAUAGUUAUGUACAUAUAUGUAUAUAUAUACACAUAUAUUUUAUGGCCGGUGAUCAUUUUCACAGGCAGACUCGAGUAUUGAUGGAUAUCCAAAAAGGAUAAAAACAAUAAAAUUGAUGAUAUCUCUUUUUCUUUUUCUUUUUUAGUCUUUCCGAUUCUCUCUUCUAGGGUUGUGCAUCGAAUUCGAAUUCAGUAAUUCGAAAGUUUAAAUUUGAAAUUUUUCGGAAUUUUGGCAUAGGAAUUACCGACUGAUUUUGAUUUUGAACUCACCAGUUUCGGUUUUCGAUUUUGAUUCCGAUUCCGAAUUCGAAAACCUUUUUUCCCUUUUUUUUCUUUUUUGUUAGAGGUAUUGUUAUAUAAUAUAAAUUUUAUAUUGCAUAUAUUAUAAAAAAUAUUAUUAUAUAUAUAAAUAUAUAUUAAUAUACAUAUUAUAAAAAGAAAUUGAAAUAAAAAAAUAUUAUUAUAUAUAUAAAUAAAAAAAUAUUAAUAUAUAUAUUAUAAAACGAAAUUGAAAUCGAAAAUUUCGAUUUCGAUUUCCGAUUUUGAAUUAUGAAUUCGAAAUCGGAAAUUCUGAUUUCAAAAACUCCAUUACCGAAUUUGAACCAAAUUCACAUAAUUCGAAAUCGGAAAUUCCGAUUUUAGUGCCGAAUUCCGAAUUACCGAUUUCGAAUUGAAUUCGGUCGGUAAAUCGGAAUUUUUCGAUUUUGCACACCCCUACUCUCGUGUCACUGGUUAUUUCCUUUUCUUUGUUAUUAUAUGUGUACUUGACAAUAAAUAUUUAAAUUUGCUCUAACUCAUUCCCCAUAUUUUGCUGUUUAUUUGUUAUUUUUCAUUGUAAUUAAGAAUAAAUUUUAUAGAACAACACAAAGGAUAUGUUGCUUAGAUGGCAAAGGAAUUGUUUAUGCUGUUGCCAUUUUAGUUCAAGGGGGAUACUUUCGUAGUGGUAAGCAAAAGAACAACUUCAACAUGAAUGCUCAAUAUUUCAGAGCCAUUAGUACAAGUACAAGUUAUUAGGGAGGGAAAGAUGCAUGUUCUUGGACCUAAAUGGCCUGUGACAUUGUCAACAAUGUCAACAAAUCAAAGGAAGUAAAAGUAUGUGGAUAAAGUAAGACGGUCAUGGACUUCCCAGCAGCUUUCAGGGGGCUUUGGACUGGUGUCACCUGCAUUCAGAUUAAUUCACGAUCAGACUGCAAAACAUUAUUGUCAUCUGAGAAUCCCUAGGCAAACACUUUUUGUGAUCGAUCGAGGUAGCAUGUCCUGCAGUAUUUCGGAAAAAUACAGCAGGAAAAGCAUUUUGGUUCAUACCGCUUGAGUUCAGACAAAAAUCAAGAAUAAUUAUGACCUGAAUUGUACAGGCCUACACGUCGGUACCAAUUAUGGAAACUACUAUAUCCCAACUACUACUGAAAUGGCUUUAAAUCUAUCCAGGCAAUGGCUGCAUGGUAGGAUAAUGAAAUACUGGACAUGCAUGACAAAAACAGACAGCUAAUUUUCAGAAACUUUGUGAAUUCCUCAAGCACUACAAACUCAAAAGCAUGAUUCUCAAGUACCUUAUGUGGUUCUUUGAAAGAAUUCUCAUCCAUCAAACUGCUAGAUUUCAAUAUAGUUUGUGUGGAACCAAUUGCUUGUAUUAAGUUUGAGUCCAAAUUGUCAAUGGUUAUCUUAAGAUUCACCGUACUGCUGCCAAAGUUCACAACCUGCAAAAGAUGUUCGAACAUAAAAUUGCUGUUAAACGAUCGAAUGUAAGUCCAACCAUUCUUUCGUUUUCAAAUAAGAACAGGACAUAGAUGGCCUCAAACCCAAUAUUAUGCUAGUUAGACAUAAGAAAAAGCCUAGAUCAUGGAGUAUGCAGCUUUAAGAAGAAGAAAAUCAUACUGAACUGCUAUCUUGAAUUUCCCUAUCAGGAUUUCGAUAUGUUCUAAGAAUUGCAAUCAAGUAUUACAGGCAAGCUUAAUGUCAUGUUCUGUGCUAAUAAAAGAGAGCAAUCCAACCUUGAUUCUCAAAUAUUGUCUACCAUCAUCUGAGGAUUUCCAGAGUAUAGCAGAUGCAGCAAGUGAAGCUGAGGUCUUGGCACCAAGAGUGGAAUUAAGAAGCAUUGCACCAUUUGAUUCUUUGAAAAAGGUCUGCAUCCAGUAACUAGGUGUUCCAUAGACCUUUGAAGAAUCGAAUACAAUAGCAUCGGGAUUGAACCUAAUUAAGAAAUGAUUUUGUUCACAACACAUACUACAGAAACAAAAAUCAUAAAACAGAUGGAGAGAAGAACUUAGGCAUACCGCCUGUCAUUGGCAUUCACAAAUAGAGGGGCAUUGCUCGCCAUCUCAACCGCAUCGCUGCAUUUUGGAAGUAUAGCUAAGUCUUCAUUUUUUUUCAAAAUUUUGUUUAUCCAGAUAGCCAUAACAGUGAAGACAUUAAGGCACUGUGACUAAGCAAAUAUUUGUGAAGUAAAGUAGUGAAAUAUCAAUGGAUGCAACAUGCAAGGAACAUUUCAGGCAAGUUGCAGUCAUGCUAGAAAGUGUGUGACAGUUUGACUAUUUAUUCAAGUUGGUGAUCAGCUCUUGGUAGAGUAAACCUAAGCGAUUCUUGGGAGGCUGAUUUUUGUCAGCUAAGUAGCUUAUACAAUCAAUUGAUCUAAGGCAGGAUUAUGAGCAGGAUUAUUUGGUUAUGGUUACUCAGUACAAGAGAGUAAGUAGUCUGUCUAGAUGGGAAAUCUGAAGUGCUCCACAUUGGAAGAACAACCAAAACCUACUAGUCCUUAUAAGUUUAAGUACAGAUUGAAGUUUCUUUCUGCAAAACAGACCCGCAUGAGCUUUUGUUAAGUUACUUGUUUGAACUGUUUGUUUCCAUUACACUACAUUAAAACUUUCAUCUCUCUCUCUCUCUCUGUCUGGGUUCCAUACAUGUACCAUUAUCGAGUAAACUUGGUAAAGAUUCUUCUUAUCUUAUACUCCACCCUACAUAAUUAAUGAAUAGUUUUUAGAACAGCAGCUGGCUGCAUGAUGCUAUGAAUAACUUCAAAGGAAAUCUGUAACAGGGGAAAUCAGGAAAGUAUGCCAUCAAAAAAAUGCUUCAAUUUGCAGCUAUAAACUCAUGUUUCAACAGCUCUAUCCUUACAUGCACGAUCUGGUCACUACCUUGCUGCAUCCCCUGACUUACCAUCCACGAGAGUUUAUCAUUAUCUGUACUAUCAGUAAAAAGAUGAACAUACGCGCAAUGACAAGUAUUGAAACAGAAAUUCGGGGGGAAAACUGCAUAUACCUGUUUCUUUCAAGGCCAACAAGCAAUCCAGCCUGAGCAAGUGCAGCUAAAAGAUUUCCAUUACCUGCAUCUUUUCCAGUCACAGCGUAUUCGCUGACAAAAGCCUGGAAAACCAUUUAAGAGGCUUCAGAUGCAUCACAUAAGAAAGACAAUUUACAACUCUUGGAAAAUACUUCUGCACACCUUAGGUCCGAGACGUGCUGUACGGUCAAAGUUACGAGCCGAUGCAAAGACAUAAUUAGCAUCACCAUAGACCUACCAGAGAAAGGAAGGAAAAGUGUAGCAAAAUCAGGAAACAAAAAGCCAACUGGUAUAUCAGUACUAAGGCUUCAAGUAAGCUGUCGCAAUUCAUAAAAAAACCUUGAAGAUCUUACGUGGAAGUCGUAAAAAUCUGCUGGGUGAUCCAAUGGUGUGGAAGACGCAUCACAGUUGGAGAUAACAUUGAUAUCUGGAUAUGCAUUCUUUAUUGCUGAAUAGAACUUGAGAUAGUUGCCUAAUUCAUGAUUAAGAAUGACUUAGUUUAAUUUCAUUCCACGUAAAUUAUGUAAUUUAAAUAAACAGGAAGCGAAUUCAAGCAGUGAUUUCGAAUCAUAGUAAGGAUUCUGUCAACAGAAUGAUGUAAAUUUAAAACCUUUGUAGAUGAUUUUACUUGUAGAGUAAGGAUUUUUAUAUCUUUUAGUUUCCUAGAGGGGAAGAAAUUACCACAGGGAUAGCACAGUAACUGGACAGUGUUCAUAAUGCAUAUGUAAUUUUGUUAUCAUUCUUCUGCAGUGUAAGUAGAAAUCAAGUGUGUGGCAAGAGCCAUUGCAAUUUGUUGAUGGAGAUGAGCUAAUGAGAACUGUAAGGCCAAAAAAUAAAUUACUAAGCCAUGGUAGAGCCAAAACUGUUUAAAGUAUUCACAAAAUCAAAUCAACAGUCUGACAUAGUCAUUGUACAAAUAUGCAGUAAGUACCAAAAGAUUUGCAGCUCAGAGCUCAGGUAAAGAAAGGUAAACAGAAAUGUUCUACUUUCUAAAUCAUCAGAUAGUGUAAACAUGCGAGUAUGUGUCCCAACAAACUUGGGAGAUUAAAGUGUGAGAAUUAACUUUCGCAGAAAGCAGGAAUUGUUAUGUUCUUCAGUUUCAUCAUAUGGUUAAAGAAAAGGAUAUAUGCUUCAAAAGCACCAAGAACAACAUUUUGCCUACCAUGAUAAUUUGUCUUUCCACAAUCCUGAUUCCCAAUUGCAACAUGUCUCAGAUCGAAGGGUUCUGGAUGGCCCAUUGCUGCUCGGACAUAUCCCCAUGUUGAAUUAGGAUCUCCUCUGGCAAACUCAAUACCAUCCAGAAUUUCCUACACUUGGAAAGAAGAAUUCUUUAUUUCCUUUGUCAGCCUUCCACUCUUAUAUACAGUAAUUAGUCAUGAAUCUUUAGACUGAAGAAUCAUACUUAAAGAUCCAACGGAUCAGAGCAUCAGGAAGGUUAUUUUGGAGGCAGCUCCAAAAAACAAUGCUAUGUAACAGGAUGAUUUACUCACAGAUGUUGUAACAUGAAUCAUUACUUGAAGUUUCUUGACAAUCUAAAGUAUUGGAAAGUUUUGAGAUUGAUGGAUGUUUAUCAAUCAUUUUUUUUUUUAAGCAGAACCAAAAAACAUACCUGCACAAAAGGUAAGAUUCUCUGGGUAUCAAUUUGAUCAUUAAGGCUGAUUCCUGAGGAAAGAUUAAUAGAAAACAAUAUCAAUAAUGAUUCCAAGAUAUAUAAAAGUAAAAAAAAAAAAAUUAAUUAUGGAAAAUCUGCAGAAUACCAGUAUUGAAAACCCAUAUCGGUAACGAGCCCAAAUCUUCAGCGAGCUGCAGAAUAAUAACGACGAAAAAAUGAGAAAGAAAGAAGCAAUCAGAUUAUGACUGAAAUUCUCCAAGAGAACAAGAGCAAUGAUAUGCCUGAAACCAUUAUAUAACCUGGAGAAACUCAAACAGACCAAGUCCAUCAUCAGUCCAGUAUUGCCAAACAUCAUUAAAAUGUCCUGGCCUUUCUUCCCAUGGUCCAACGGUUACUUUCCACUGAAAUGAAUUUCUUAACCAUUCACCUUCGACAUAAGAACCACCUAACACAAGAUGCACAAAGAAGAAUAACCAAAGAAUUGAGGCCUCUAUGAAAGGUGAUGCUGCUGAAAUGAAGUUAAUCAGACUACAAAAGAAGAUAUACAGAUUUAACCAGUAUGAUGAAAGUAGAGAGUAGAUCUACAGCAUUGGUUGGAUUGACUAACUAAGACAGCCAGAGUUUGUUAUUGUCAACUACACAGAUUAUCAACUUGCUGAAGCCAAAAAGUCUAUCAUAUUGCUCAGGGGAGAGAAAUUGUAGAUAAUCCAUAAAUGAAACCAAGCUAUAACUACAAAGAGCACGGUCAAAGUGAGCAGACCCAUUGGAGAUAAAAUAUGAGAAGAAAACAUCUUACAGAGUUAGAUAUUAAAAUCAGGAGUUGUCUACGGGAUCAUCUAUAACUUUUAAAUCUCAAAGGUUUAGUAACCUACAGUGCAACAUGCAGUUACAUCACGCAUAGAAUUCCAGUGACCAAGGAAAUAUUUGGAAUCAUAGCUUAAGAGAUGUUGCUUGAACUAAAAUUUGCACUAUCCUAAAUUGUACUCUUGUGAACUUAAUACUUUAAUAACUCAAGAUUCAAUGUUGUAAAACGCAGAACUUCCAUAGCAGUCAAAAAGAUUCUAAGGGCCAACUGCUAUAAAUGGAUGUUUAAGUAAAAAGAGAUUUUUUUUUUUUUGGAACAAAUAAGAAGAACCACAGUUGAGCAUUCACAUUACUUUAGGUCUUCGUCCAACAUUAACUGCCAUAAACUCUUCAAAACCUCAGGAUGGUUAAGAAUAAGAACCUGAAUAAGCCAUGCGUCUGCUGUCAUCUAAGAAAGUAAAAAAUAAAGCACCAGUAGAUAACCACCACAUUUACCCGUGGUUGGAAUAAAGUUUUAAUUGUGCUGGAAACCAGAACGAGAUAAAGCAGACUGCACAACAGGUUGAAUUGCUCUAUGGGAGAGUCAUGGAUUAUCUGGAGCGCUUUGGAGGGUCAAGAAAUCUAGGUAUGGUAUUUUGAGGUAAAUGAGUAUGCUAUUAUGCCUUGUCUAAAGCUUGUCUAAUUGCCAGCUCAAUCUUACUUCUUUCUUUAUCAGCAUUUUCUGAAUUUAAGGAUUCUUUAGAACUGUAUGGAUACAACCUUUUUCACUGAUCCUAUUCCAUCCUUAAAUAAAAAAUGAAAAACACCAGCCAGGAAAACAUAGGAACAUGGUAUGGAGUAUCCCAAGUUUUCCAAUGAUGUCUUUGUUUGAUCAAGUUUGUCUGAAGCCACAAGAAGAACACGUUGCAAAUUGAACACAAGAAAUCAGUUACAACAUACCAGGAAAUCUGAUAAACCUGGGUCUCAAAUCUGCAAGCAUUUGAAAGAGAUCCUGUCGAAAACCAUGUCCCUGUGGCAAGGAUAUCAGAGUGAAAACAAAAAACAAAAGAACUACUUGUGGACAUGCAUCUAUCUAAAGGUAAAGCACGGAUCUCUUAUUAUUAUCAGAAAAGCCAAAAUCAGCAUUAAGUCUGAAUCUUUAGGUAGCAGACCAGUGAAAAAGUGAAGUAAGUUCACCAAAUCAAUAUUUUACCAUGUUGUAAAGCUUCCACUUUUCUGUCUGGCCACAAAUUGGAAUGCUUAUAUCAUGAACAUGGAAAAAUCCUCAUACAAUGUUAAACGCUCAAUAGUUAACUACCUAAACCAAUCUUAAUCAGAAACCCAAAAAGUGAACCUUUAGGACACAAGAAACCUAGUCAGGCAAUUAGUGCGUUGUAGCUUUAUCAGAAUGAGGCAAUAUCAGCAAUGUCAUGAAUCCACCUAGAUUUUCAUGCAAUGUUCCAUAAGAUAAAUGCGGGACCAUGACUAAUAUGGCUGGUCAAUGGGAAUCUAUGUUGAUGAAUUACACACCAAAGAGAAGAAAGUUGUCAAGAGGAAAACAGUUCAUUGGAUGACAACAAUGUCUGCUUUCACUUCUAUUAUAGAGAAAAGUUGAUGAUUAAAUGCGUACUGGGACCAUUAAUCAACUUGGCAGAUUGUACCAUUUUGUACUUGCAUUCUUUUCUUACUCUCUUGUUAUCACAAUUCUUUGAAACCCAAUUCUUGGACUUGAGUGAUGAUGCUGAACUUUUGAUGAUUGAUACCAAAAACAUGUUAUCUUUGUUUCCCCCUACCAGCUUUUUCUUUCUUCUUUUGCCUUAAUAUUUUCUUUUGUCUCCCUAUAUUAUUAAGGUAAGCCUGAUUAACAUGAAAUUCGAUUAUGGAUAAAUAACAAUGUCUCCUUAAGGUCUCACAGUUAAAACUCAUAAAGGUUACCACAAAGAGAAAAGAGCAGAAACUUGUAGGCAUCCCAGUUGUAAUUUUACUUCAUUAUUUGUACAUCUGAAAAUCUCUGACUCAGUGAGAUUUUCAGAAGAAAAACAGUAAAUUACUUGCAAGAAAAGAUCAGUUUUUUCUUAAUAAAUUGUUCAGAAAUUGAUUGAAUUCAAAUGCGAUUUACACCUUGAAUGUGUCCAAAGGCAUGGCUGAGACUUGAUCAAACCAUAUGACACCUUUUCUAGUUGUCAUCAGUUGCAGCCUCGAAUUGGGAUCACUCCCUGUUGCCUCCAACAAAACCUCAAUCAUUGUCCAAUUUGAAACAUCAGAAGAACUGCAAGAACACCGAUGAUCAAUUGAAAGUCAAAAUUUGACAGAGUAUGUAGAUUAAGAAGCAUCCUGAUAACCAUAUUUAUGAGCAAAUGGUGCUCACACAAUGUUAGAAGUAGCCAGUGUCCUCGCACCAUUCGAACCAGUGAAUGAGACAGUUAUGUUAAUUGAUUCUGAUGAGCGGACGUACAUGAGAACCCUAUAUGUCUUCUGUUGUUCAAUGUUCUAGAACAUGGCAAAGUGAGUAAUGCAAAGGGUUUAAGUCAGUUAGACAUCCUUACUACAAAAGACAACAUAAUGGAUUAGCAGAUCUCUUUAGCAACUAACAGAUAGAGAUUAGGUACAAAAUAUGAAUUAAUAUGCCUGAACUAUUAUAUGAAUCAUGAUGAAUAUAAGAAGUACACAACCUAUGUGCAUAAAAUCUUGUCAUAUGCAGAUAAAACCCGAUGCUGACGGCGCUUACUUCCAAGCUAAAAUGUGCUCUAAGCAUGUAAGAGAUGGAAUAAUUGAACCUAUAGUGAAUCUUGAAAGAAUUUAAAUGGACCUCACAACUGUUAUUGGACUAUGCAACAAACACAGAAAGGUUCUAUAUGAUUGUUGAAGUCAUGAGUUAUCUUUUACCAUGCCCCAGUACCCAGGAUUAUAUAUUCCAACUCCUUCAGCGGGACAAAUGAUGGGUCCUUCAUUGUCACAAAGGACCUCCAUCCUGAGUGCAACUUUAUUUCGUUCAAAGCAUGAAGAACGGUCCGUCGAUACAAUUAACAAUGAUUCAUCACCCAGAAUAGACCAAGGAUAUAUGUUUGAUGGGAUGCUCUCUCCCCCAGCUUCAAAACCUGAAUUUGUGAAUUCUCUUUAGAACUCAAAGAUUAAAGACCUAAAAAAAAAAAAAAAUCAAAUGAAAGAUUCUGCCACCAAGUAAAGCAGACAUAUACUUGUCAAGCUUUAUGAAAACCUGAAGAUGAUAAUCAAAUCGAUCUUCCCUGAGUCCUUAAAAUGGGGGUGGAAGUAAGCAAACUGUUAUGAGUCAUUGCAACAAUGCUUGUCAAGUUGUUAUAGUUUGCAUAGUGGACUUAGCAUCUGGGCAUGGCAAUAAUGAACCUGCCCGAUUGGUAACAAAAAAAUAAAAAAGAACUUUGUCUUCCAAAAUCUUUAAACACAAUGAAAUGAUUAGCUCCAUCUUGAACACCAUCCUAAAUGUGCCCAGACAAGAAAUAGGUAGAGAUCUGCAAAUUUUUUAAUGAACUUGACAUUUUUCACAAGAUAUAACUUUUCUUAUAAUGUGUAUAUAACUGCAGAAGGAUAUUUCGGGAAAAGGAUUUCUCACAACCGGCUAGAUAUGAAGUGCAUUGCUGAAAAGGUAUAAAAUUGAUUAUCCUCUCUGCAUGCUAAGACAAAUUCUUCACUUAAUUUCAGAGAGAGGAAGUAAGACAUUGCCGCAAAGAUACAAGCUUCAGAGAUCCAACUGAUACCAAUAAGAUAUCAAUUUCUUUAUGACUAAGUGAAGGGAAACGUGACCUCGGUUACUGACUAGCUCUGCCCACAAUCCACCAGCCCCAGCAUGGUUGAUUUCCUGUAGAACCAUUACUGCUCAAUCAAUACACUUGAUGUAGUCUGCAAGUUGAUGUAAAAGAUAUAACUAGGAAGUAAUACAAUAUAAGCCUUGGAUUUUUAUUUUCUGCCAAAAAAAAAACCCUGAAAUAAGAUAAACAAAGAUAAGAAUUUGUGGUUGAAACAUAACUUUUUUUGCAUCUAAAGGACAAAAAGUAGGCAGCAAAUCACCCUUAUAUACAAAUAAUUAACCAUGUCAACUGAACUAACCUCGAAUGAUAUUCCAAACAUGGUUUCAGGAAUCUUUCUUGCUGAUGCUUGAGAACCAUCCACAGACAGCGAUGCUGACUGGUUUGCCUCAAUUCCAGUUGCAGAGCUAUUAAACGAGGCACACAACACAACUAAAAAGAAGAGCAGAACUCCACAUGGGUGAGGACUUGAAGACAUUUCUUCCUUGCAGCACCAGUUUAAGCACUACAAAGGAAAUUAGUUCAGGUUUGUGCUGAGCGGUUAACUGGUAAACAAAGCGUGAAUAGAAUGACGUCCUCCACAACCUAUCAUUACUGAUCAUUCCAAUCUGGAUUGGGACUGUGAAGAGAUUAUGAGGACAUUAAUGCGAUUUAACUUUUCAAUGAUGGUGGUUAAGCAGAUGGACCCCCAAGCACAGAUAUGACUAAAUCAUGACAAGAAGUUAGCAUCCAUUUCAGCAUUUUACCUUUUUUCCAGACUAGAACCUGUUUGAAUAAAUAACUUCUUACUAACUACCACAGAAUUCUGUUAUCGUUGGGAAAAAAAAAAAACUACCACACAAACUUAAAACUCGAAACAAGUCCAUUGAAGACCAGCAUUUGGGAAGCAAAUAAUAAUUUGAAGCCAGGCAAAAUGACUCAAGAUAAGGAACUUGACUAAAACAGUACCAUAAAGCGCCCUGCACAAAACUACAAAAUGUAAGAGAAUUCUUAGGCAUUUCAACAUAUAAACUGCAUUGAAAAUCUUAUCAUGCGUGCACACAAAAACAAAGCAAGUCAAAGGAGCUAGAGACAGUUCCAGGUAAACACUUGAGGAAUACUGCAACUUGUUUGUCACCAUAAACUUCCUUUAUGGGGUGAACUUAAUAUUCUUUCAAACCAAGGAUAAUUGCACAUCCAUGGAGGCAAAUAUGGUACCACUGGAUGCACAGUGCAUUCAACAGAGUAUUAUACAAAACUAAAUUGCAGCAUCAAGCUCAUGAAGAUUUUUUAUUAACAUAUCAGUUUUUUUUUUUUUGGGAGAUGUAUACUGAUACAAAUCCAAAUUGAUAAGAGCAUCAUCACAUUCUUUCUUUUUCAUGUCAACUUGAAGGAGCGAGUAGUUUACCUGCAAAAUUGAAUCAUCAGCAAAUGAAGGCUUAGUUUAAUUUGGAUAUUUGAUGAGUCACAUUGAGGGGAGGCAAUUAUAUAUGGUUGGAGCUCAGAGUUGAUACACACUGAUACAACAGAAAGUGGGAAGGCAAAGCAAAAGGCAGGAUUUCUUGCCUUCUGAUCCUUGAGUUUGCUCCGAAGUUGUUAGUGUAUGUUGAGUAGCCUACGUGUAAAAGCAAAGGCAAAGCCGCCAAGGCAAAUGGGGGUUGUUAUCUAUCUAUUCAUUCUAUUGAUAGUUCCCCCUUUUCCUUUAUUGCACACAAGGAGUAGUUAUUGAUUGGAGGAAAAGUCAUACUCCGUCCAGAAGCGCGGUUUUUUCUUGUCCCAUCUUGCAUUGCGGAGAUGACUUGUUCAAGAUUAUAGAUAUGGUUAGAGGUCCCGACUUUGCUUUCACGUAACACUCUAGUCAUGAUUGCUGUACGAUAAGAACUCAGCAAUCAGCAGCAGCAGCAGCAGUUGACCCAGACUUGUAGUGUAGCGCUAUUAUACAUACAUAUAUACAUAUAUAUGGAGUAGUAUUUCAGAAAUAAACUCUUCCUUCUUCCUCCCUUAGUUAAUUGCGUGAAAGUUUCUUUCUUGACCCCACCAGUCCAUCUGCUUCAGGCACUAUCUAUCUCAUUUGGAUUUAAACAUUUUGGCAUUUCGUAUAUUGAUGCAGACCACUCUAGUUACUUACAAUAUUGUAACACUACAUUAAGUUAUCUAUUAAUAUGAUUACAUCCUAGACAUUAUUCUUAUCCAUUAUCAGAAAGGCCGAGACCAAGUGUGUUGUUAUCCAUUAAAUUAAGAGUGUUUGCUGCUCUUAACACUCUCAAUCAAAACUAGAUUUUUGUUAGUAUUUGCCUGAAUCACAAUUUACUACUGAAAUAUAUAGUAUGAAUAAGACGCCCCUGAACUUGACUAAUAUUAUUAUUUACAUACAGCUCUUGAGAAGGAUCUCAAAAGCUGGAGGACAGUGGGGUUCCGCCGCCAUAGAUGGGCCUUUCUUCAGUCUUCUUCGCAAGGCCAGAAAGCCUCAAUUGCUCAAAUGCUUUGAAGCCAAAAAAAAAAAAAAAGAAAAACGCAAUCUUUUUGUAGCUACCAGAAUUGUCCAUGAAACGUAUUGUGCAAAUCAAGAUUCUAUUUCAACCUAAAGAGAUUUGCAGGGAAUUGAAAUGGUCGACGUGAUCCUGUGAACAGAAUGGAGGCACUGUUUGUAAUUGCAGCCCAAAAUCCUAUCUUGGUUAAACCUUUCACUGUUGGCCGUGUCUUUUGCAGAAUGCAGAGGAGAGUUAUAGACUAAAGGGGAAUUGAAGGCGUGGUCGAAAUUUCAAUAAACAUACGUACUUACACUAGUGUACUAGCAAAACUAUCAAAAAAGCUCUCCUAAUUUAUCCAUCCUCACUCCUAAUAAUGCUGCUGUGUACACUCCCUCCAAACUAGGGUUGCAAACGAGCCGAAUCGAAUCGAGUUUUGAACUUAUCGAGCCAAACUAGACUUGAUAACAGGUAGGCUCGAGUUAGAACUUGAACUCGACGAAACAAGAAAAUUGAUCUCGAGCUUGACUCGACCAAGGAAAAGCUAGGCUCGAACUCAAGUCGAUAAGGCUCACGAGCUGUAGCUCGUUUUUUGGCUUGCAAGCAACUCGAAUUGUCAGCUCGUAAAGUAACUCGAACUUCUAACUCGUAAGUAAUUCGUUAGCUCGCGUUUUUGGAAAUUAAUCUAAUAAAAAUAAUAAAUAAUUAUUUUUUCUUAAUAAAUAAUAAAAUAUUAAAAUUAUAUAUAAUUUUACUAUUAAAAUUAUAUAUAUAUAUAUAUAUAUACUCGAGUUCACGCGCCCACUCGCGAGCUAACGGGUUUAAUAUUUUGAACUCGAGUUUGAUUUGACCAACUCAAACUCGACUCGAAUUCAAUAUUGAUCGAAUUCGACUCGAGCUUUGACUCGAACCUCUUUCGAGACGCUCGUUUGCAGCCCUACUCCAACCAGAACUACUACUGCUAAAUAAAUAUUUAACACUAGCAGCAACAAUAGUACAGAAGCACAAAGGUGACAGAAUUAGAACCCCAACCUUUUACAUUUACCUAAUCAAAGGUUCAAUGGCAAGGACAGAUUAGUCCAUGAGUUAGAACAAUAGCAGCAGCAUUAGCAGUUCUGCAAUUGGGUUGGAUGAGCGUAACCAACAGCAAAGAAAAGCAAAGCCCACAAAAGAAAGAAAGAAAGAAAAGGAAAGGGAUUCCGGAGGAAGCCAGCCAGCACUGCCGCCGUUGCCAACCCACCCAUGACCCCGCCCGACUGGGAGUGGGAGGACGUUGAAUUGAAUCGAAUCGAAUAGAAUAAUAAAGAGUAUUAUUAGCGAGGCGGAAAACAAAGUAGUGGUUACUCUUUCUACAUUCAUUAAAUGGAACAACAAGAACCGCAGACCCAAACCAAAAUCAGCUUCCAUCAAACUCAUACUGAAACCAUCAUCCCCACCCGCCAGGAUCAGGAGGAAGCCAACCACCAUUUCCAAACUGCUGCCCUACCAAUACCAUCACCUCCUCCUCCCCCUCCUCCUCCUAUUGACGAGGUAAUCUUAUCAUUUAUAUCACUAUUACUAUUAGUUCUUCGGUUUCUAGUUACAAUUACAUGCUUCUAUAUAUCUGUUUGAGGUAAUCAGCCUGCCUCCCUGCACCCUAUCUCUAUCAAGAGAAUUAAUUCUUGGGGAGAUUAUCUGCCCUACAGAGUUAGCACGUCUUCCUAUUGCAAAAUAUAAAGAUAGCUUUUUUUUUUUUUUUUUGAAUGUUAACUUCAUAUUUCUUUGGCUAUGGUUCCUUCUUCCUUUUGUUGGUUAGUCUGUGUUGAUGGAGGAUUCAGGAGUGUUCAACUGCAAUGUGCAUCUCAGUGUUCCACUAUUAUCCACCCUAGGUUUAUGACAGCCAUAGCAAUAUUAUGGUUCUGAAAGUUUUUUGCUUUAUCUAUCUACAAGUUAACAUUUUUCCAUGAUUCUAUCAGGAAAAUCCAUCUAAACUGUAUACUCAACCAAAGUGAGCUUUAUUCUAGUACUUUUAUUGAACUCCCUAAGUUUUCAUGUUUCAAGCAAUCUAUAUGUCUAAGGCGAGCCAAUAAUUCCCGUAUCAUAUAAGGAUGCAUAAGCAUAUUGGAUUACUGAGUCUUACUUAACAGAAUGAUGGCUAAUGUUGUUCAACUUACAUUUUGCUUUUCACCCAAAAUUAAAAGGGAAAAAAAAAAGACAUUCAAGAAUGUGAUGCACCUCCUAGUAAGCCAAUUCAACAUAUUACUUGACUUUUCUGUUUCAAUUCCUUUUAUAUAGGAGAUACUGCAGCCUUAUAAUAUACUAGUAGGAAGUUCUGCAGGUCAUGAUAUCUGGUGACUCGAAAAGCUGAGUAGUUGGAAGCAUAAAGAUGCUUCGAGGAUGUUAUAAUUCCUGUACUAUGUCUAUGUUUUGCUGUGAGAUAGAGUUUGACAUUCUGAUAUUCUAGAGCUAAUCUAUUCCUCAAAAAAAAAAUAAUAAAUGUUUCACUGCUUCUAUUUUUCUUUUAUUUAUUUUUCUUUUCAUAUCCUAGACCAACCAUUCCCAACCAAGUUUUCUCUGUCUACAGCACAGCCAUUCCCUCUAUCUGAGUUUCUUGUCCUUUCUACUUUGUUGAUUGACUGCCAGGUGCCAAUUGAUUUUUUGUGCCUUUGUGAUAAAAUCUUUGAUUCAUGUGUAAUGCCUUAUGGAAGAUUAGAUUCUAAGUUACAAAAAAAAAAAGGGAAAGAGUGCUAUUCAGAUUCAGAAUCUCUUAAAAAAUAAUAAUGAAGAAAAUAACUUGACAAGCAUGCAUACCUUUAUUUUCUUCUUCUUCUUGUUUUGGCCGGCCCCGGAGGGGGGGGGGGGGGAAGGAAUCUGCAGCCUAUGUUAUUCAUCAAAACCAAAAUUUGUCUUGCCUGUCAAAUUCUUUUUGAACUCUUUUUUUUUUUUUUGUCGUGUCCUGUUUUAUGUGUGACCUUUCCUUGGUGAAAGAUUGCUAUUUUUGCCUUUAAUUGGACCAUGGGUUGAGCAUUUUGCCUAAUUAUCCAUCAUAUUUUCAUCUCAGCAAUUUCCCCACCUGUCCAAUUCCGGGGAGCUGACUAUCAUAGUUUGCUGUUUGCUCUCUUAGCUUGAUAAAUGCUCGAAUAUCAACCAUUUGGAUUUGUUUCUGUCAAAAAUAUAUCAUUAAACAGAGUCGUGCUUCAUUACAGGAGAAAAAUGGUAAUCAAUUCGACCAUCGGUUUCAAAGAACUGAUCAAUGGCGCCCAGUUUAUUCCUGGUUAGAGUCGUUGGCUACAGAUGAGCCAGUUAAAUCUAAGGAUAUUUUAGACUGGCUGACAGAAAAUCCAGAAGUCAGAGAACAGUUAUAUACAAGGCAUUCCCGUUACCACUUGAUGCAUUACAUCAAAAAAUGCCACAUGAAAAUAUUGAAGAGAAAGGAGAAGAAGAUGGUAUUUUUCCCGGCUUACAAAUAUUCAAUGAAAUUCCUUUCCAUAUUAUCAUAUUUGAAUGAAAAUAGCAAUCAUAAACUUAAAGGUUAAUUUAGACAAAAAAAAAAUCCCUAUUGUAUUUAAUUAGAGUUCUGAUGUUCCAUGGCUUGGUAGAGUUGGAGAAUUUUCAUGUGUCAUAGCUCGAUAGUUUGAAAUUUUGUUUUUUUUCAAUAUUUGAUAAUACUGUAUAAAACAUGCAAAACAUGCUUCAUGUAGCCCAUUGGUUGACAUAAAAUAUCCUGUGAUUUAUGUUGAAGUAAUUGUAUCAGUUCUGAUUCUUGUUGAAGUGAUAUUCAUACAUUUUUUAAGCAGGGGAAUACAAUGAAAUUUGUAUUUAGCCUUGUGUUGCCAGUUGUGUUUUCUGAAUAUUUCACAUUUUCUUGGUUUCAAUCAUGAAUUUCUCUAUCUCUAUCUCAAACCCCCCCCCCCCUCCCCAAAAAACAAAACAAAAAAAAAAAUGUAGUUCCUCUUUCAUUUUUUUGUUUCUUUUGGGAACAUAAAAGGGGAGGUGGUGGGAGGAUUAUGGAUUUGGGUAGGGAUAAAAGACAAGAUUCUGUGUGCUGCUCAGAGGAUAGGAUUUACUAGUGAAGUAUUAAGAUCUAAAUGACUUGUUCUAGUGGGAAAAGUUGAUUAUGAUGUUCUUAGGAAUCAUAAGAAUCUAACAUCCUAAAGGUUUACCCUAGCCCAAUUGUUCUGUGUCAGCAGGCCGAUGAUUGCUCUUAUAUGUUGGGAUUUAGCACUUCAUCUAAACAUUUAAGCUCGUAGAGAAGACUGUAUUUUAUUUAUUUGUUUUCUUAACAGAUCUUAUAUCAAAUUACUUCCCAAUAAAAAAACAAGAGAGCGAAAAUUCUUGUGUUAAUUAUGUUGUUUCCACUUGCAUGAGUUAGAAGUUGUUAUUAAAUAGCGGUCAUGGUAAUAUUAGAAGGAGAAAUGGUGAUAGGAUUAGUGGUGACAACAUAGUUGAUAAUAAGCUUCUUGAAGGUAAUAAUAAGCAUUCUGAUAAUCUAUUUUAGCUCUUGGAUCAUAAUUAGGACAAACAGUUGUAAGAUGCCAGUCAGGAUUAGUGUUGAUAGGAUUAGUGGUGACAACAUAGUUGAUAAUAAGCUUCUUGAAGGUAAUAAUAAGCAUUCUGAUAAUCUAUUUUAGCUCUUGGAUAAUAAUUAGUACAAACAGUUGUAAGAUGCCAGUUAGGAUUUAGUGUUCACUGUGACCUUUGUAGUGAAAUAGAAAUCCAGGAGCAUGAUGUUCAAGCACAUGAUGCAUUUGUUCUUUUCUAUGGAAUGGCAAUGUCGGAGAUGGGUGUUUAAUGUUUUAUAAAUUAACUAUUAGGUUGCUGAAAGAUUGGAACUGGGGCUACUAAUGAGUGGAAUAUGCUGGUUGGAGGUGUAAUUUGCUGCCAUAUGAUCUGUUUUGCCAACUAAUAGAAUCUUGACUACUAAACAGAAGAAAUGGUUUCAUUUAGAUGCGUUAAUGGUCUUCAUUAAGCUUAUGAUAGGAUUUAAAGUAAUUUGGUAAUUGUAAGGCAAAUUGUUGAGAAAUUUUAAGGAAGAAAGGCUUACAGAGCCCCAUCAAGAUUCAAUGCAUAAUGACCAUGCAAGCUUGAUCAAACCAUUUGCUGUGAGGUUGAUGUGUAAUAUCAAUUUUAUUCUUUUCAGCCUUUUUAGAUUAUUUCAUCUAUACCUGACCAGAAGAAGUCACAGUUGACUUCUUGCCUGGGCAAUUCUUGUUUUCUGUGUGGCAGUUUCUAUUUUUCUGCUUCUUGUAGAUUCAAUCUACACUUUUUGGUCUUAAAAUAAUACAUAUUAAGGAAUUGCUAUGUUGUUUUUUCUUGGUUAAUCCUUUUUUGGGCCAUUUAGAAUUAUGCAUGUAUUAGGAAACGUUAAAGAUGAAGAAUUUAGGCGCGGAGGCUUGACUAAGUCCAUGAUCGCCAUGCUUGCUUUCAGUCAAAUCAUAACUUACAAUAUGAGCAUGUGAUGUGAAGUGGAUUUUUCAUUAUGGACUGGACUUUAGUGUCUCUCAUGAUUUUUUCAUCUAGAUGCUUGAUGUCAUAGGACGCGUUAUAUGUCUCAGGAAAAGUGUCUGGCUAUGUUGGUGGAUGCUGUUUUAGUUUUUUUCUGGCAAGUCUGAUAUAUUUAUAUGAAGUGGGUGACUCUAUACCAAGAGCAAGCUACAACAGAUACUGCAAACCUGAUACCAUUGAAACUUAUGUAUGUACAUAAAAAUGGUAUUGGAGGUAUCCAUAGAAUUCAAAAACUUUCAUUUAUGCACUUAAAGAUAAAAAUGAUGCAUUUUAGUCUAUUGGAGCUGUACAAGAGCCUGAUUUUGUUAUAACCAUGCAUAACUUUUGACAUUUGCCUGUGCAGAGGUGCACAAUUAGAAUUUAAAUGGUUAUACUCCUACAUAAUUGGAUAGAGAGCAGUAUGAUUGCCUAUGAACAAUCAUGUGUGUCAAAAAUAUGUCAAUCCUGGCUAAAUGUAUUUUGCUUAAGGAGUCUUCCUUUUGUUUCAUGUCAGUAAUGUGAUUUUGCUAGACAAUAAACUUUGCCUCUUCCAAGACCAAAUGUGGACUUAAUUAUCUUAAAGAACUCAACUGCUUCUUUAUUAACUCCUAGAAUUAAAAUGAGAUGGAAGUAGCUCAAAAGCUUUAAGAUCAAUUUUAGCAAUUUUUCCUCUUUAUGUUUGAUACCUUUGAAGUGGAUAUUUCCAUGAGCACUCAUCUUGGAGCUUGAAGCACACAAAACCUCCUUAUGGUCCAAUUUAGUGUAAAAUUUGUGUUGGCCACUAUCUUUCAUUGAAAUUUCAUGCUCUUAUGACACUGGUUAGGGUGUUUAAGAAAAAAUGUUAUGUCGUGCUUUGACUAGCAGUGUGUUUCAAUUUUUUUUGCUGUAUAACUGGGUGUGCACCCUUCCUUGGCAAAAAGGAUUUGUUAACAUUCUAUACCGAGGAGGACUUUGCUGUCACUGUAGAUGUUACAAGAGGACAAAGAUUUCAUUGUUUUUUAGAUGAUAUUCAUGAAUGAGAUUGAACUUUGAUAAGGGUAUAACUUGAUAGCAAAUAAAAAAUCAUACUUGAGGACAAAGAUUAUGGUUCAUCGUUUUCUAGAUGAUAUUCAUGAACAAAAUUGAACUUUGAUGAGGGUAUAAAUUGAUAGCAAAUAAAAAAUCAUAGUUUGUACUCAAUAAGUGCUUUAGUCCUAAUAAUUUAUCUUCUAUUAAUUUGUUGAUUUACUAGUGUUCUUGUAGCAAGGUAAUAUACUUAUUCUGCUUUAGGCCCAGAACGUACUGUAUGCUUUUGUUCUGUGCUUGUGCAAUUUUUGUCUCCUAGAAAGAUGUGACUUCUGGACCUGGGUUUAUUUUAACUAGUACGUCCAUUUUCACUUGAGAAGGGAGUGCAAGUUACACAUAAAGUUCAUUCUGACGAUGUGCAAACCAGUGUGGAGACUAAAGCCAUUGUUCCAGUUCAGAAUACAGGUAAUGGUACAUGAUUCGUGGUAGGUAUUGCAUCCAACAGCACUGUGGUGAUCUAGUUUACUUUUUACAUCACAAAUAUUGGUGGGUGAGAUGUGUUAGCUUUUGUACUUUCUUGAUAAAUCCCGAGGUUUACAACUAAAUGUUACUCACUGCCUCAUAUCAUGAUUACUGUUCUUUGCAAAAGCUAAUCUGAGAAUAAUAAAUACCAUGAAAUUACCAAAAUAAGGUCGCUCUGUGAUUCAGAAAACUUUUUCAACCAACAUAUGAUGUGAAGCCUGAAAUUGAAGGUUAACAAAAUGGCUAUCUGGAUUUGACAAAUGGGCAAAGAUUUAGUGCUAUUUGCUGGUAAGUAAAUCCGGUUACUGGAUGGGCAUAUGAUUCAUGUUUUUGGUAAGUCUCAGUGAGCACAGUCGAAUAAGAGAUUGUGUCUGCUAGCUAUAAUUAUUUGCCUAUGAGUUGCCUUAUUGAAGAAAUUGUGUACCCUGUAUGCAGGACACCUCUAUAGGUAAAAACACUGAUAAGUAGCUCAUUCUACCAUAUUCUUGUACUGGUCUCAAUAUCCUAGAUGUCAAAAUAAUGGGUUGUAGGCCUUAGGUAUAAUCACUAGUAGAAUGUAUUCAGCUUGUAAUGUGAAUCUUUCAGAUAUCAGUCAGAUCAAACUGGUUUCAGUCGAAUCAAGGGAGCAUCCUAGUAGUCAAUAGAGUGAAAUAUUUUGUUGGGCUUGAGAAAUAAAAUACGUAGAAGAUGAAUGUUCCAUGAAAUACAAGGCUAUAAGAAAAAAAAACAAGACUUUAAGUUCUCAUAGGUGCUGCAAUAACCUAAAAAAUGUUCGUCAUCCUGAAUGUUGGUUGUGGUGGUAUAAGUACAGAUUUUCAACAAAGUUUGGUGUUUUAUAACACAAAAAGAAAGAUGGAAAUAUUGACUGAUUUCUUCCCCCUCUUGUGUACUCUUCAUUUUCGAGCUUGAGGUGUUUGUACCAUGUGUCUUGCUUUAAAGUUGUGAAUGCAAAAGAAUCAGGGGUUAGGUCUUUCUUGUACAGUUUUAUACCAUUUCCAGGGUUGAGUUCCAUUUGAUUAAAGCUAAUGAUGAUUGCCUUUCGGAUAACGUGUGUGUUUUGCUCAUUUUGCAGCGAAUAAUUUGAGCAGCCUACCUCUGGAUAGUGACCUGUAUAAAGCAAAACAGAAGGAAGCACUUCAAAAAUAUGAGAUGUAAGUUAGGGGAAGUCCUGUCCAAUAUGUUGAUGGAAUAUGCCGUAUUCCGACUCAUAUGCUCAUGUGUUUUUUUUUUUUUGUUGUCAUUUUCAGUUUGAUUGACUUGGAGAAACAGCUUUUGAAUCUGAUUUCGAAGUGUGAUAAUCGACCAUCUUGAAGGACUCUGAUCUGACAAAUUUGCAUUUGGUUGAUCGUAUAUCAUAGCAUAUGCUAAAUUUUGGUGGUGCAGUUUGGUGACAGCAAUUCUUUUGUUGCUAAACAUAGCUUCACCUUGAUAGAUACUCAACAAGUUCUCUAGUACUGUAAAGAGUCUCUUGUAUCUCUGCAAACUCCUCGCAUCUCUCCCUGUAUCAGUAACGGUAAUUAAAAAAAAAAGGGUCCCUUGUAUGCAUCUUUGCAACCUCGUUAUUGCAUUAAAGUAGUGGUUAGUUCUCUUAUAGAUAUUGCAAUAGAGUAGUGGUUAGUUCUCUUUAUGGACACUGCUAUAGGUUAUUUUACCGAGGAGAAAGUACCUGCAAAAGCUUCGGCAGUCUGGAGUUUGUGAUAUGCACCUAAUGUAAUGUAUGAUAAAAUUUCAUGAAAGCUGGCAUCUAAUUCUACGACAUGAAAUCUUGGAAGUAAGUUGACCAAAGUGGAUUUGCCUUUUUAACAGAACUACUAGGAGUAGUAUUGAAUGAAACUAACUAGAGAUGAUGGUAUGGUGCUCUACAAGACAAGACAAAAUGAGAGGAAUUCUGAAACUGACAAAGUGAUAGUCACUUAGGCAGCAGCACAACAAUUCGAGAAGCUCAGUCUCUGAAAGUGGUGAACACGGACCAUAUAUAUAUAUGUGUGUGUGUAUGUAUAAUAUACACAUCAUGUGUUUAUUUUUUUUAUUUUUUUGGUAUUUUGAUAUUCAAGGGCUUGGAGCAAAUUAUAUGCGAAUCAGAGAGAUUCACUGCGUUAGAGACCGCUGGCAAGAACCAACUUAAGAUAUGCAGCAGUAGCAACAGGAAGCAUAUUAACUGAUAUAAGAUGGCAGACAUAGAACUAAAUAUGCUUUAUAAUAUCACCAUUACCAUUAGUUUGUAAGAACAUGAUGGUUUAUCUGAUGAAUCAGAUACACAUGAUGGUUUUGCAUUAUCAGGAUGAUGAUGAUCUAAGAACAGAAUCGGAUCCUGCAAUUAGGAUAUUAUUGUCCGACUUCAUCGACAAGUCAAAUGAUGUGAGUGAAUGAGGAGAGAGCACCACAUCCAUGACCUCCCCAACAGUAUCCA